rnacentral:lncRNA from 1 species
UUAACUGGUAGCCAGUACUUCCAAGAAUAAGAACGGGUACUUGAAUUUACUAAAGUGAAUCCUACUUACAACUAUGACAAUACUCGGGAACUACAACUACGUGUGGUUCCCAAAUCGAACACAAUAUGGACGGAAAAUUCCAUCCAUAGGCAAGGUCUCUUACGACACCUUGAUCACAAUUCACAUUAUUUUUUUUAAUUUCAAUCAUUCAUAAAAUUUUAAAAAUGCACACAACACACAAUGGGAUAAGAAGCAAACCUGUGAUUGGACCUUUCAGGGGUUUUGACGGUCCAGUCAACUAUAAAGUGUAGGCUCUACCCAAAUAGCCUAACACUUGGAUGUGGACUAACGGUAAGGAAAAGCGAACAAGUUCAACAAGUCUUAUCUUAGGUAUAGGUAACGUAGAUCGGGUAACUUCAUGAGGAAGGGUAACCUAAAAUCCUAACUCUUCACAAGAACCACCAAAGCGCGAAUGAUGCAAACGUUCCAGAAUUUCCCAAACUUUGACAAUCACGACCAUUCUGUCUUUGCUAGUCACAACCAUAACGGCUCAAGGUCCUCGAUCUUGAUCUGAAGAAAUGUACACCCAAAAUCAUCUCCAACGACUUACUUAACUCACUUCUUGAAUUUGACCUUUUAUCUGCAGCGGUUGGAAAAUAAACGGUCUGCAUGACUUGGUUAACUUCUUCAGAAAUAAUAGCUUCUUUAACAUUCACGUCAUACUCUAACAUCUCCUCGAAGCUUUGAAACUCCAUGGUCUUUUAUCUACUCCAAAAUUCUUGGCUAAGUUCCCAAAGAUUUUCCAUAUGAUCUUUGGCUUGUUCUCCAAACCAUAGUCGAUGAAUGAAAUUCACUCGACCACAUAUCUCGAUGCUGAAAUUGUUGUAUAUGAUUAACUCGACCUUAACCUCCUGGCGGAAACAUCUCACUGUACCAAAUCUGUAAACUUAAUCUUCAAUCGGUCCCAUACCUUGUGUAGAAAAUUCUACUUCUUGAACUCUUGAAAUCUGUCCAACUCGAUCUCAACACCUUGAAGUAAUUCUUGACUCUUGACCAACAACUCAUAGCGUUCAUCUCCAAAUAGCUUGCUGCCAAAUCCUUCUUGUAAUUCUCUGAACAACGACCACGUCAAUAUUCUGCUCUGAUUUUGUUGACUCCCAAAUCUGCCUCAAGCCAAAGUAUACCUCGAACAGUUUAUUCCUUCUUCGGUAUCUUAUGGUCCCAAUUUCUUAUUCUUUGCAUCAUAAGCUUCAUGAUGUCUCAUUGCAAACAAAAUGCUUCCGGUGCUUCCAUCAUCUUGUAAUACAAUCAAACCAUCUCUUCGUCCAAUGCUAAGCUUGAAACAAAUACAUAAAAAUUUGGCUUGUACGGCUCUGGUGCUUGUACGUCUCAGAAUAAGCUUGACAUUGAUAACACAAGGGUCCGUAGAUGUAUUCGAUGUAUCAACUCUGUCCCAUAUAUCUCUCUAAAGAAUUGGUAUCCUCCACUAGAACUCAAAAGAACGGCAGGAAGACAUCAGGUUACUGACUCCUAACAGGACGGUAGUGAACCCGACCAUGAGGGUAGCAAACUCGAGCAUAAUGAUAGUAACACCGGUCAGCACAGUCCACCCGUUCAAUCUUGUCUCGGUGCUUCUGCUCUGAAAGAUCACGGCUAGGUAACUACCCAUGACUAUCUAUCCUAAACUAAAGGAACAAGCCAGCAUAUCCUAGUUAUUCUUGCGACUCAUUUUGACUCGAAAAACAUUUGAAACAAGUCCCAUUCUAGCAUCGUAUAACCAUGCUCUGAUACCACCUUUGUGACACCCCCGAUCUGGUCUAAGUAUAAGUUGACUCGACCAGCCGUGCAACAAUCAAACAAGAACAUGCACAGCCGAUCACUCAUAACUGAAACCAAACCGAGAAGCCACAAUGUGUACAUAAACGACUAACCCGAAGUUCCCGAAAUAAAUCCAGGUACCUUAGGCCAACCGCCUAAGUACACAUAUCCUAUUAGGUACAACCCGAGGCUUUACAACCUUAAGAGUAAUACCCAAUAGUUGGUUCGUCCGGACAAGGACUAAUAUCAUUUGGAACCCAUACUUUAAAAACAUUCUUUAUACACUAUAUACUUAUUCAUUUAAAAGAAUCUUACAAAAUCUUAUAGAUUAACCUCGAGGUUUUCGGUCAACAAACCUUAUACAUAAAGUAUAUCAAAACGCCUUUGCAAGGAUAAUAAAACUACCGCUGGUUAAUGAUGUUCCUUCCCGUCCUAGAGUAAGGUCUCCCGUCUACUGGUUACCUGCAUCACAAAUGAGUCAUGAGUAACUAGUUUACUCAGUGAGCCUAGUCCCACACCCAAACACUUAUCAAUAGUAUCCCGAGCAAUCGACACCAUUUGAAUGCAGUGGAAUUAUAUUCCAUAAUUAAUAUAAUUAUAAGGCCUCUCAAUCCAUCCAUGUGAAUCUAUCUUAAACAUCACCUCCACGAUACCCGCCAAUCACUCAUACUCUUAAUAUAUAUAUAUAUGCUAAACCCGGAAAACCACCAAGGCUAACCGAGCCUAACGGGGAAUAAAAAUAACCAUCAUCUCCAUCAGAUAUUCCAAGAUAGAACAUCCAACGCUGCAUGCAGUUACACGGCCUCCAGGGUGCGACCCCAUCAUCGUGUCUUCAUGACCUUGAUCCAUAUCGCAGGACCAAUUCACGGCAAUGCGGGACUUUCGGGAGAGUGAGUAUACAAUAAGACUUCACAUGAUUCACACUUAUUCAUAGAAUAAUAUAGAUUAGUACUUGAGAACAAGUACUAAGGCUCGGGAUAACCUCAAAGAAUUAUUCUUAUUAAUUCUUAAGUAUUUAAACUAGAUAAAUACUUCAUAUAUAAAUAUAGAUCAACGAAUAAUACUUAAUCAAUCAACCAUAAUUACUCCUUAAUUAAUCCAUGAUUAAUCCUUAAUUAAUCAAUGAUUAUCCCUUAAUUAAUUCAUGAUUAAUUCUUAAUUAAUCAACCAUAUUCAAUAUGCAAUCAUGCAUAAUCAUUCAUAAUUCAUUCAUCAUCUAUCUAGACUCACCUUUAAAUCCAUGAGAUUGGCUAAGGAAGACUAGACUCGAGCUCAAGCUAAUCACACUUCACUUCUGGAUCACUCUCGGUUCAGAACCAUCACAAGGAUCCGGCUGAUCCGAAUACUCUCCUUGGCCAUCUGAAUUCAAAACAUACAGUUGGAACAUAAGUUUCACUAGUCUGGUUCAAGAAGAAACUCAACUCAGUUCAUAACAUUUCAGUUCAGUUCUCUCAUAUCAGUUUGGUACAAGACAAGUUCAGGUCUGGUCCUAAAAAUUCAGUUAAACUCAGACUAUAUCUGUUCAUGACAAGUUCAGACCGUAGACAGCUCGGCUCAGAUCAGUUGAAGACAAGAUCAAAUCAGUUCGGUUUAAUUCAGACAAUUCACAUAAGUUCAGCUACUGGUUCUAUGAUACAAAUUCAAUCAUACACCAACCAAGAGUGAACCUUAUAUGAAUUCAGACAACUGUUCCUGAUAGGUUUAUCAAGACACAGCACUUGGUUAUCAUCAAACAGAACUGAAACAGGAGACUGAAGCUUAACAAAAACUGAUCUCAUCAAACCCAUAAGCUCUUACCGAUUCAAAACAACAAUCUUCUGAAUUCAGAUGGUACACAACUUAUCGUUGAAGCCACUCCUAACCUGAUCAGUGCCAUAUCAAGCCAAGGUCGGAUUCAUUCAGACAAAGCCUCAAGUGUUUCCAAACCAACAGAACUUCUCACUGAAAACUGAUCAAAAUACAUCUUACCGAUCAAAACCAAAGGCUGAAGAACAUGGGUGAUUCUGAACUUCAGGACACCAAAUAUUCAGCUCUUAACCACACCAAUACUCACUGAUUAAAGUCAGAAGAGGGUGAGAAAGGGUCGUCCAAGCUCACUUCUCUUCUCUUAUUUUUUUCUGAAUUUUUCAUGUAUUUUCCUCACAGAUUUUUCUCUCUUUCUUUCUCUCUUUCUCUCUGAAUUUUUCUUUCUUGUUUCUGAGAUGAAUGAGCUCGACCAGGAAGAGGAAAAGGUAAUAAAUGACAGGGGAAAUAGCAGGAGAAGAGUCAGCAAGAAAGGACAAAAGUUUCAGAUCAGUAUGAGACAUGUGGUGAGCUGAAUCACACUUUCCUUCCCAUCAAGUAAUGUCAUUUCCUCUUCAUGAAGAAACUUCAAGCAGGUGUGCAACUCACAUGACUUUAAUGUAGCAAGAAAGCUGGAAGGUGCAAGUCACAUGUACAGGUCAGGAAGGAAGCAAGCACCCAGGCAGCACAUGACAUGCACAUGACUCGCAAGCAGCUGGAAGUAUUCAAGACCAGUUUUGGAUAAAAUGUUUCCCGUCCAUUGGUUCUCAUCCAGCUUAUAGAUAAAACUCGACCAUAAUAAUUAACACUUGGUCAGAACUAUUAAGAGUAGGUACUUUGGCCUUGAGACAGUCCGAUCAAGAAUAAUUCACCGGGUCGAUUUUUAUUUUUAAUUCUGGUCGAACCAACUCCAAACUGGUCGAGCGGGAUUUUUCUCGAUAAAAAUUAUAUAUACUUGUGAGGAUUAUUACACCGUACCUCUAUUAUCUUGUAGGGUCCUUCCCAUCCGGGGGUGAGUUUCCCAGUUGUUUUCUCUGUUCGUCGCAGGACCCAGUCGCCUUGCUGGAAGGUUCUGGUUCUGACCUUCUUGUUGUAGGUCUUGGCUACUUCUUGCUGGUAGGACCAAUUUCUCAGACUGGCAGUUUCUCUCUUUUUGUCGAGUUGAUCGAGACCUAGCGGUAUUAGCUCGUGGUUUUCUUCCUGAGAGGUAGUCCCCAAGACUGUGGUCUUUACGUGCAUUUCGGUGGGGAUUAUAGCCUCUGCUCCGUAUACCAGCGCGUAGGGGGUUUCCUGGGUUUCUGUCUUGUGGGUGGUCCGAUAGGCCCAGAGGAGUCCGUGCAGCUCCUCUGCCCAGUUUCCCUUGGAACCCUCCAAGCGCUUUUUCAGCAUGUUUACCACUGUUUUAUUUGUAGACUCUGCUUGCCUGUUAGACUAGGGGUGUCGUGGCGUAGCGAAGGAGAGUCUGAUACCCCAGUCUUUGCAGAACUCCUUGAAAUUGUGGCUCAUAAACUGGGGGCUGUUGUCAGCGACAAUUUCUUCUGGAACCCCGAACCGUGUGAUUAUGUUUGUCCAUAUGAACUUUCUGAUAUGGAGAUCGGUUAUUCUGCUGAGUGCUUCUGCCUCGAUCCAUUUUGAAAAGUAGUAUGUCACUAUCAGGAGGAAGACCUUUUGCCCCGGCGACAUGGGGAACUUCCCUACUAUAUCCAUGCCCUAUUUCCUGAAUGGCCAGGGCGAACUUAUGGAUUUGACGGAGCCAGUCUGGAGACAGGCGCAUGCCUUUGGCAUCUGUCACAAUGUUCAGCUUUUUGGUUAGCGUCGUCGGCCAUCGUGGGCCAGUAAUAACCUGCUCUUUUGGCUCUCAGAACUAGGCUCCUGCCGCUGGAAUGAGACCCGCAAUCUCCCUCGUGUGAUUCCACUAGGAUCUUGGUCGCUUCACCGGGUGUAACGCAUCUCAGAUAUGGGCCAGAGAACGACCUGCGGUAUAGCUUCCCCUGACAGAGGCAAUACCUAGCGGCCUUCUCCGGGUCGGGAGUAAAGCCGGAGAGAAUUCGGCCACAAAGUCUGCUAAGGCCUGGGACUUAAUUGCCGUAGCGGGUCGGAAGAUUAUGUCGUAUUCUCCCAGCUCUACUGCCCACUUUACCAAUCGUCCGGAGACCUCAUGCUUAUGUAGGACCAGCUUUAUAAGGAAGGAAGUGACGACCACCACCGGAUGAGCCUGAAAGUAAGGCUGUAAUUUACGAGCAGCGACCAUUAGGGCCAGGGCCAACUUCUCCAGGUGACUGUAGCGGGUUUCUGCGUCUAGGUGGGCUUUGCUCACGUAGUAUAUUGGUAGUUUCUUGGUUUCCUCUUCUCUAACCAAGACGGUGCUAACUGCAUGUUCUGAGACAGCGAGGUAUAGUAGUAAGACUUCGCCAAGCAAGGGUUUAGAUAAGAGAGGGGGAGUAGGAAGAUAAUCCUUGAAUUCAUGGAGAGCCGAUUCGCACUUCUCGGUCCAUUCGAAAUCCUUUGGCUUCUUGAGGGUUUGAAGAAGGAGUGAGACUUAUCAGAGAGCCUGGUGAUGAAUCUGCUUAUAGCCGCCAUUAUGCCAGUUAGCUUAUGGACUUCUUUUACUCCUCGGAGAAGGAAUUGAAUGGAUAGCUCUGAUCUGGUCUGGAUUAGCCUCGAUGCCCUGGUGGGUCACAAUGUACCCUAAGAAUUUUCCAGAGCUGACGCCGAAGGAGCAUUUAGCUGGGUUGAGCUUAAUAUUGUAUUUACGGAGGGUAGAAAAGGCCUGUUACAGGUGCGAGAUGUGGUCCUCCGCCUCUAGGAAUUUCACCAGCAUGUCGUCAAUGUAGACUUCCAUAGUUUCUCCUAUUUGGUCCGCGAACAUCAUGUUCACCAACCUCUGAUAUGUCGAUCUGGCGUUCUCCAGGCCGACGGGCAUGACCUUGUAGAAGUAGAUCACCUGAGACGUCAUGAAAGAGGUUUUCUCUUGAUCUUCGGGUUGCAUGAGUAUUUGGUUGUAGCCGGAGAAAGCGUCCAUGAAGCACAUUAGCUGGUGUCCAGCCGUGGCAUCGACAAGAUUAUCGAUGUGCGGCAGAGGGAAAGUGUAGAAACCCGUUAAAAAAAAAAAAAAAAAAAAAAAAAAAAGAAAAGAGAGAGAGAAUGGUCGAGUAUCUUUGUGGUUGAGUCGCGGGCAAUACAGAUCGAUCGGGAAAUUUGAAGUACGAGAAGGUCGAAGAAUGGAUCGUGAGUGAAGCAUGAGUUGAGAUAAGCUGCUCUACCAUUGUUAGAAAUGUCUUAGAUUGAUCAUACGGCAGUUUUGGAAGAAUUACAUUUUUAAAGCACGACGGUUUAGAAGCUCGACGUUUUGGAAGAUUGACGUUUCUUCAUCGCGAAGUUUUCUCGGAAUAUCUUCGUAUCAGUAAAAUAUUAUUCUGAAGACAUUAUAAGUCGGAAGCAGGACGGGAAGCAAGCACGACGGGAAGCAAGCACGAUGGGAUUGAAGCACGACAGGAAAACCCGAAGUUGGUCAAAAACCCUAAUUUCGGUUUUUCGAAAUUAUUGGAAGAAGCCGGAGGCUCGGGAAAUAUUUUUAGAGGAUCUCAGUAUUCAUCUGGAGUUUAUUAAAAAUAUUUAGAGAAUCAGAACGGGAGCGGAAAAAUAUUCGGGAUUGAUCGCGGGACGAAAAUUCACCAGAAAGACCGAAAUCGCACAAAUCAACCGGGAAGCUCGAGGUGUCCCUAUGCAUAUGGCCAGGACGUUCUGUCUAUCACAUCAGCAGCUGAGUGUCAACACAAGGAGGAGGUGUAGACGUGCAUGGAAGCUGAACAUGCAGCUUGACACAUAGAAGCACGAGGUGGAACAGUCAAGCACGAGGUGUCUCCGCACAUGCAACCGAAGCAUGCUGAUCGAAGCAUCGACAAGAUUAUCGAUGUGCGGCAGAGGGAAAGUGUAGAAACCCGUUAAAAAAAAAAAGAAAAAAAAAAGAAAAGAGAGAGAGAAUGGUCGAGUAUCUUUGUGGUUGAGUCGCAGGCAAUACAGAUCGAUCGGGAAAUUUGAAGUACGAGAAGGUCGAAGAAUGGAUCGUGAGUGAAGCAUGAGUUGAGAUAAGCUGCUCUACCAUUGUUAGAAAUGUCUUAGAUUGAUCAUACGGCAGUUUUGGAAGAAUUACAUUUUUGAAGCACGACGGUUUAGAAGCUCGACGUUUUGGAAGAUUGACGUUUCUUCAUCGCGAAGUUUUCUCGGAAUAUCUUCGUAUCAGUAAAAUAUCAUUCUGAAGACAUUAUAAGUCGGAAGCAGGACGGGAAUUAAGCAGGACGGGAAGCAAGCACGACGGGAAGCAAGCACGAUGGGAUUGAAGCACGACAGGAAAACCCGAAGUUGGUCAAAAACCCUAAUUUCGGUUUUUCGAAAUUAUUGGAAGAAGCCGGAGGCUCGGGAAAUAUUUUUAGAGGAUCUCAGUAUUCAUCUGGAGUUUAUUAAAAAUAUUUAGAGAAUCAGAACGGGAGCGGAAAAAUAUUCGGGAUUGAUCGCGGGACGAAAAUUCACCAGAAAGACCGAAAUCGCACAAAUCAACCGGGAAGCUCGAGGUGUCCCUAUGCAUAUGGCCAGGACGUUCUGUCUAUCACAUCAGCAGCUGAGUGUCAACACAAGGAGGAGGUGUAGACGUGCAUGAAAGCUGAACAUGCAGCUUGACACAUAGAAGCACGAGGUGGAACGGCCAAGCACGAGGUGUCUCCGCACAUGCAACCGAAGCAUGCUGAUCGACAUGUGUGUGCUGGUCUUGCAUGAGCUCCAGUCAUGCAGCCUGACAUCUGGGAGGAGUGGUGGCGUCCUGCAUGUGUCCUGGACAUGCAGCCAGCCAUGUGGAGCACGAGGUGGAUCGGCCAAGCACGAGAUGUCGCGACGCAUGCAACCGAAGCAUGCUGAUCGACAUGUGUGAGGAUGUGUGGCGCCUUGCAUGAGCUCCAGUCAUGCAGCCUGACAUCUGGGAGGAGUGGUGGCGUCCUGCAUGUGUCCUGGACAUGCAGCCAGCCAUGUGGAGCACGAGGUGUCGCCGUGCAUGCGUCCGGAGCCAUGCGGAGCGACACACGGGCUGCCACCAACCUGAAGCUGAUUGGCUGGUGUCUCCUAUAAAUACCCCACGACCCCAGCUCAUUUCUUCACAUCCAGACCUGUCCAAACCCAUUUCAAAACAUGAGAGAAAAGUAGAAAAAGAAAGCAAGUGAUUCCGAGCUAUUUCGAGAGUUUUAGAGAGUUUUCGAGAUCAGUUCUCUAUUGAUUUCGAGUCAGCGCCUAGGGAAGGUUCUGUCCAACUGAAGGCCAAUCAAAUGAAGAUCAUCUCAGAUGGGAAUCAAGUCAACGUGGCCAGAGAGAAAGAGAGAGAGAAAGAAAGUGUUCGAUCUAUAGUUUGAUCGAUUCUGAAGACUGAGAAGGCCAGUUCCGUCCAAUCGUCGAUUAUUUACGAUUGUGACUCGGAAGCUCUGUCCAAUUCAAUCCGUCCAAGCCAGUCAUAUUCUCCUACAAUCAAGUGGAGGUGCUGUCCAAGAUUAGUUCAGUUCCACGGAUUCAGAUCAGUCGAAGUUCUGCUCGAUGCUCCGGGGGAAAGUCCGAAGAACUGUCGAGGAGCUAAAGAAGGUUCUGUUCAGAUCAGUCGGUCCAGACGUGUCAGUUUCUUCAUGAUGAAGCCGAGGUUAUUUCCAAGUCAAGAUCAGUCCAGUCCAGUCCAGUCAAGGUGUCCCUUGGGUUUUGGCCAAGUCCUCUUCGAUCAACCAGCAGCUUCUCGCCUAGAACACUGUGAGUUGGUUUGUUUGAAUUCCACUUGGAAUUUAGGGUAGUUUUGUGAGUUGUUUUGUUUGAAUUCCACUUGGAAUUUAGGGUAGAUCGAGUCGCAUAUAGAGUAGAAUGAUCAAGUUAUUGAAUGGUAGAGUCCUUAGGGUUAUUUUAUUUAUGGAACCGGACUCAGUUUAGCACGGGCUAAGCUGAGAUGAAUGGAAUUAAGACUGAGUUAAUAACCUGACUAGGACUAGGGCUAGGAUGCAUCAUGUUUUCUAUUAUUGCGUGUUGAUAUUAUUGAGUGCAGGUUCCCGUUAUCUUUAAAGAUAGUUUCUCAGCGGGAGGCUGGACUAUCUGGGUAACGGUUUGAUUGUGUUGUUUAGUAUUCAUAUUAUUGUUUAGUAGUUAGUACUAAUUGUCUUAGACCAUAUAGGCCGGACUACUGGUACUAUUGGUUUGUGUUGUAGAGUCGAGUGUCUAGUUAGGAUCUGGAACUUUGGCUUUAGGUUAGGUUCUAGAUUGAGUUUGUUUUGUUGUGAGUGUGCCGACAGUAUGUGCGAAACCCGCCCAUACUAGGCUUGUGUAGGGGUGAUUAGUGUUUCGUCGGCCUCGUACCCAGCGGGUUCAAGGAAACCCCUUAUUCGCUGGAUCGGGAAGACUCAGACGAACGGUGUCAUGUACUAUGGCUGAGUAUUACACGACGGUGUAAUGUGGCAGUGACCCGAAGGACUGUGGGCUUUCGCGCGGUGACCCGAAUGACUGUGGGCCGCGGUCGGUUGAAAGUUCCUUCUUCUGGCCUUUGUGGUAGGGAGAUAGGAUAUUGUCGAUAGAGAGGAGGAACACGAAGUCACCAGGGCCCAGGUUAGAGUGUUGUGUUAGAGUGUCGUAGAGGGUUAUGGAACCCUCGAGUUAGUGUAGCACCGAUAUACGGUGUUACAAGUUAGAUCGAGUCGUAGUUACUCAUAGUCUUAUUAUUGUGAUUGUGUUUGUGGUUGAUUGAUUUGCUUGCAGGUUCUGACGUUAAGUCCUAAGUCUGGUUUAGGUACCGGAUUAGGCUUGAUGUGUAUUUCAUUAGUGUAGGCCUGACGUUGGCCUGUAUGUGUUUGAGUGAUUGCUUGUGAAGGGUGGUGGAUAUUAAAGCUAUGCGGUAUCAUUGGUUGGCCGAUCAUGUUCUUGUUUGAUUGUUGGUCGAUCGAUUAAUGAUACUUGCAUAGUCUAAGUGUCUAACACUACAUGAGUAUUGAACUCAGGCGUAUAUAUGGUUAACUAGGGAUUGUUUGUUGACUUGUUUUAAUGCAGGUUCCCGUUACUUGAAGCUAGAUAAUGGCAGGAGGCCAAGUCUAACUUAGUAACGGUUUGCUUAGCCUUAGCUUUUAUUGCAUGCUAGGGCUAGAUUGAUUGUUAUUUUGGGUUGUCUGGGUAGAGUCUAGGUUGCGGGUAGAGGCCGCCAGCUCACUGAGUAACAUUAGGUUACUCAUCCAACUCUGUUGUCCUUUUUGCAGGUUACUUUAGGUAAGGAUGAUCGGAUAGCUUCGUGCUGGAUGUUAGGACCGCCGGUGUAGAUUUUCAUGCCUUUUGUAAACGGUAUUGUGGAUUUGUGUUUAGUUGACUCGAUUUGGCAUUAGGCCGGGACCGGUCUCGAAUUAUAUCAAUGUAUGGAUAUUUCUCGAAUCAAUAAAGUAAUUGUUUUAUAUGCGCUUCAUGAGUACUCUGAUAUUUGACUAGUCCGGUCUAACACAACGUUAGGUCGAGGUACGGGUUGAAAAGCCUUAGGCCUUGAUUUAACGGAAAACGCUAACUCUAGGUACGGGUUGCAAAGCCUUAUGCCUUGACGCAGCGGGACGAUUAGUGGAUGAACUGGUCUAGGUCGUGGAGUAAAGUUUGUGACUCUGACCUGAUUGUCCCUAGCCCGUCACGUAGCGCUUCCGGACCAUGGUGUUGGGUUGGACGGUCAGUCAUGUUCUUGUUUGAUUGUUGGCUGGCCGGUUGGCCUUUCAUCUCCAACCCUUGGUGUGGGUCGUCCGUCGGUCAUGUUCUUGUUUGAUUGUUGGCCGGUGGGUCGACCUAUGCUUAGGACGGUUCGGGGGUGUUACAGAAAGGGUCCUUUGGGCAGGACUUUUUGAGGUCUGUGAAAUCGAUGCAGACCCGCCAUUUUCCGUUCUUCUUCUUGACCACGACCACGUUGGCUAGCCACUCUGGGUACUGCACCUCUAGGAUGAACCCUGCUUCUAAUAGGUUCCUGACCUCUUUGUUGAUUAUAAUGUCUCUUUCCGGAGAAAAAAUUCUUCGCUUCUGUCUUGUAGGCUGGUGAGAGGGAUCCACCUGCAGCUGAUGCAUAAUGAUCUCGGGGUCGAUCCCGGGAAUGUCUGAAUGGGACCACGCAAAGCAAUCAGAAUUGGACCUGAGAAAAUCUACUAGCCUUCUUCUUAAUCCCUCGUGGAGCUUGGAGCCGAUCUUGAGGUUACGAGUUGAAUCGCCUUCGACUAGUGGCACAUCAUCCAUAUCCUCGACUUCUGGUUCCCCUGUGUUUGGAACUUGGGACUUGAUUUGCGGGGGCGGCGCAGCCUCGAUUUGUUUCUUCAUAGCGACUUGCUAGCAGCGGCGGGUGGUCUCCUGAUCUCCUCUAAUUGCCCUAACGCCCCAAGGAUUGGGAAAUUUUAUCGUCUGAUGGAGAGUCGAGGGAACUGCCCCCAUUCCAUGAAUCCACGCUUGGCCCAGGAUCAUGUUGUAGGGGGAGUGAAAAUUGACUACCAGGAGCCUAGUAGGUAGGCUGACCCCUUCAGCAUGGACAGGGAGGAUGACCUCCCCUGUUGUUUGCUUGACCUCCCCGCUGAAUCCGACAAGGGGGAUUGCUUUUCGUAUUAGGGCUUUCUCCUCCAGCCCCAGACCUUGGUAUGCGGUUUGGAAGAUGAUAUUACUGGAGCUGUCGCUAUCCACUAGUAUUCGUUUAACCAGGCAGUUUUCUACAGUAUGCAAGAUGACGAGGGCAUCGUGGUGUGGCACCAAGACUCCUCUCGUUCUUCGGUGGUGAAGGUUAUUUCAUCGGUUUCGGGAUACUCUGACUUGACACUCUCGGAGUUGCCCCAUAUGUCGCGGGCGUUUUCCUGAAUAGUGGCAUGGUUCACGCCGUAUGCCUCUGGUCCUUCGGAUAUGACAUGGAUCUUCUUACCUCUUAGGCAUGGCGGGACGGGCUCAGCUUUGACGAGUUUGUCUGCUGGACGUUGUAAAUUGUCGGAUAAGCCCUGGGGCUUGAUUCCUCUUCGAAUGGCUUCGGGUAGCUCUUUACGUUUAUCCAUCGCCAUCAUCACGUAGUUAGAUUAGUCCCCUCCUUCAAGCGCCAAACUGUUAGGGGAUUUUUGUGUAGGCUCUUUGUGAGUACUACGAAACGAUGGAUAAGCUGAUAGUUUAUAUGUAUUUCGUGAGGAUUUAGAGAGGAUAGGCUUGAAGAGUCAUAUUAUUAAUCAGACAAACAGGAACAAGAGAGGUUACAAAGUAUUCAGUAAGAACCCUAGUUCUAGCCAUCUAGUUCUAGUCUCUAAGCCUUGGGGAAGUAGGUCCCUUUCUUUAGGGUUUUUGUAGUCCUUAUGUAGUCGUCUAGGAGUCGGUUUCCUUAGGUUAAACUCUUCCAUAUUCGGAAAUAUGGAAGAUUCUCCAUUUCUUGGAAGGGAGCUCGGUUCCAGAGACCGAACUCAGGGUUCCUUCUAGCGGGGACCUGGAGCGUUCCCUUAUCGGGGACCCGAGGGUCUGGGUCCUGCCUGGAGGCUGGAGGAAAUGAUACCGGAGUAUUUUUCCCCAACAUCUUCCAUAUUCGGAAAUAUGGAAGAUUCUCCUUAUCAGAAGUUUUCCAUUUCUUGGAAGCGAGCUCGGUUCCAAGGACCAAACUCGGGGUUCCUUCUAGCGGAGACCUGGAGUGUUCCCUUAUCAGGGACCCGAGGGUCUGGGUUCUGCCUGGAGGCUGGACGAAAUGAUACCGGAGUAUUUUUGCCCAACAUCUUUCAUAUUCAGAAAUAUGGAAGGUUCUCCUUAUCAGAAGUUUUCCAUUUCUUGGAAGGGAGCUUGGUUCCAAGGACCAAACUCGGGGUUCCUUCUAGCGGAUACCUGGAGCGUUCCCUUAUCGGGGACCCGAGGGUCUGGGUCCUGCCUAGAGGCUGGAGGAAAUUAUACCGGGAUAUUUUUCCCCAACAGUCGGGGUGUGGCGAAAGUUAGUUUUAUGCCCCAGUCCUUGCAGAACUCCUUUAAGUUGUGGCUUGUGAACUGGCGUCCAUUGUCGGUGAUGAUCUCGUGGGGGACCCUGAAGCGAGUGAUUACGUAGGUCCACAGGAACUUGCGAAUCCUGAGAUCUGUUAUGAGGCUGAGCGCUUCUGCUUCGACCCACUUGGAGAAAUAGUCAGUGACUAUCAGAAGGAAGACCUUCUUCCCCGGCGCCAUAGGAAAUUUCCCUACUAUAUCCAUGCCCCACUUUCUGAAGGGGCAUGGUGAGCAUAUGGACUUGAGGUUCUCCGGGGGGAUCUUGGAGACUGGAGUGUGCCUUUGGCAUUGGUCGUAGUGUUUGGCUUGUCUAUUGGCGUUGGCGGCCAUCAUGGGCCAGUAGUAACCAUCCCUCUGGCUCUGAGCACCAGACUUCUGCCACUAGAGUGGGAUCCACAGUCUUCUUCGUGUAGUUCUACAAGGAUUCUAGCGGCUUCGUGGGGGUGUGACACACCUUAGGUACGGGCCAGAAAAAGACCUCGCGGCUCGCUUCUUGAUCUUUCUGGCCUCGCUACUGUCUUCCAGGAGGGUGUUGGCCUCCAGGUACUGAAUCAAGGGGGUCAUCCAAGGUUUGCCUUCUUCGACAGCUAAGACCUCCUCUGAUGGGGAUACUCAUCUGACUAUUUUCGAGGGCGGACCCUAGAUUGGCCAGGGCAUCGGCUUGUGAGUUUUGUUCCCGGGGGAUUUGAGUGAGUUUGCAGCUCUUGAACUUCUUGAUUAGUCGUUGGUGACCGCCAGAUACUGGAUCAUGCUGUCGUCUUUUGCUUGAUAUUCCCCUUGUACCUGGUUAAUUAUCAGCUGGGAGUCGCCGAAGACCUGGAUAUUUUCUGCCCCCAUUUGGUGAGCAAGGUUCAGGCCCGCGAUUAGGGCCUAAUACUCGCUUUCGUUGUUUGUUGCUUUGAAGUUGGAUCUCACGGCCCUUGAGGCUGUAUUCCCCGUUGGCGAGGUAAGUAUUAUCCUUACUCCAGAUCUUCUGACGUUGCUGGAUCCAUCAAUGUGAAGGAUCCAUUCUCCUUCUUCCUUAGUCUCGCCUUCGAGGCGUACCUCCUGCUCCAGAGCAGGGAGGAAGGCAGGGGAGAAUUAAGCCACGAAGUCUGCUAGGACCUGUGACUUUAUAGCCGUGGCAGGUUGAAAUAUUACGUCGUACUCCCCUAGUUCCACAGCCCAUUAUGCUAGGCGUCCGGAGACUUCGGGUUUGUGGAAGACCAACUUUAAAGGAAAGGAGGUAAUAACCACAAUUGGAUGAGCCUGGAAGUAGGGUCGGAGCUUGCGAGCGGCGACUAUCAGGGCUAAGGCCAGCUUUUCGAGGUGGCUGUAGCGGGUCUCCGCGUCCAGGAGAGCCUUGCUUACAUAGUAGAUUGGUAGCUGCAUGUUCCCCUCCUCACGAACUAAGACGGCGCUCACGGCGUGUUCGGAGACUGCUAUAUAUAGCAGCAGGACUUCACCGAGUAGUGGCUUAGACAGGAGAGGAGGAGUGGUAAGAUACGAUUUCAGCUCUUGGAGGGCGGAUUCGCAUUCUUCCGUCCACUGAAAAUCCUUCGGAUUCUUGAGAGUUCCAAAAAUGGCGUGAGAUUUGUCGGAGACUCUGGAGAUGAAUCUGCUCAAGGCUGCCAUCCUUCCCGUUAGCUUUUGAACCUCCAUGACGUUCUUCGGGGAAGUGAUCGAGUGGAUGGCCCUGAUUUGCUCCGGGUUGGCCUCGAUGCCCCGGUGGGUUACAAUUUACCUGAGAAACUUGCCAGAGCUGACCCCGAAUGAGUAUUUAGCUGGGUUGAGCAUCAUGUUGUAUUUCCUGAGGGUGGAAAAGGCUUGCUGCAGGUGAGAUAUGUGGUCUUCCGCUUCCAGGGAUUUAACCAUCAUGUCGUCGAUGUAGACCUCCAUGGUUCUCCCAAUUUGGUCCACGAACAUCAUGUUCACCAGCCGCUGAUAGGUCGCUCCCGCAUUCUUUAGGCCGAAGGGCAUAACCUUAUAGCAGUACAUCCCUCUAGACGUCAUGAAGGAUGUUUUCUCCUGGUCUUCCGGAUGCAUGAGUAUCUGAUUAUAGCCGGAGAACGCGUCCAUGAAGCUCAUGAACUGGAGCCCCGCGGUGGCAUCCACCAGCUUGUCGAUAUGAGGUAGCUGGAAGGGGUCCUUUGGACAGGAUUUAUUGAGGUCCGUGAAGUCAAUGCAGACUCUCCACUUUCCGUUAUUUUUCUUGACCACGACGACGUUGGCUAGCCACUCUGGAUACUGCACCUCACGAAUGAACCCCACGCCUAGCAGGAUCUUGACUUCAUUGUUGAUGAUCGCAUCUCUCUCUGGAGCAAACUUCCGUCUCUUUUGUCUGACGGGUUGGUGUAGGGGAUCUACCUGCAGCUUAUGCAUGAUGAUCUCCGGAUCGAUCCCAGGCAUGUCCGCGUGGGACCAGGCGAAGCAAUGGGAGUUAUACCUGAGGAAGUCUAUCAGUCUUCUUCUAAACCCUUCGGUUAGCUUUGAGCGAUUUGGGGAUGCCUGGUCUGAUCCCCUUCGGUUAAUGGCACCUCAUCCAUUUCUUCUACCUCCGGUUCCUGGGUGUUUGGAUUUAGACUCGUGGUCUUUGGACCUUGAAGUCUUCUUAAAGAUUGAUCUAACCAGCGGGUUUCGUCUUUGUAUUGGAGUUGGGCCCGAGCAUUAUAAAGAACUUGGAGGUUUACCUUUUCCAGGUCCUGAAGAAAUUUGUUCAAGACCCGGAGACUUCAUGGGGACCCGAAAGUAUUUGAAAGGGACCGUAUGCUGCCACCCUAGGUGAGGCCUCUACCGGUACCUGUGGGGAUUUCGUAUUCUACUGCUCGGAAGCUAGUCACUAUCGAGUUCCCGUGCUGCACCCUGCUUUCUGCAGAAAGCCACUAUCAGUCUUAGAGGGUGCUGGUGUGGGUGAAAACCCAAGUGCCAGACUUACGCUGUUUUUCCACGUUUGGAGAAACAUGAUAUUAUUGAGGUGCUCCCGGACUUUUGCACUUUCUCAGUGGCAAUUAUACCUCAUGUCCCCUGUAUCAAUUUAGCCCGUAGCGUUUUAAUACAUGUACCUUUCACUUUUUUGGUAUUUUAGUUUGGGACCCUGAUAUGUCUGAGGCUAUACAGGGGUUUUAGUUAGUAUUGACGGCAUACUCGGGCUUGCGCAGACCCAUUCCUACCUUAUGCCUCAUACCCGUUUUGUUUUUGUGUGGUCGUGCCACUUAUCAUUAAGGGUUGGCCAGGAUCGGAGGUCUCUUUGACCUGAUCCAGCUCGUUUCCCCUUUAAAUAUUAUGGUAUUUGUACUCUCUCUUAUAGUCGAAACUAUUUUAUUAUAUAAGCUAUGUUCGUAGACUUUCAGCGUACAUAUGAGUAGAAAAACAUAAUGCUUAAAAUAAAAGAUAGAAUAAUUAAAUAGAAAUCAUGGUCCGGAGACUGUACAAGAUAUCAGCUUCCGAGAUACCCCAGUGGUUAGGCCAUGUUUUACCUCUUAUUGUAGUGUGACCCGUUGUAGAAACCCGUAAAAAAAAAAAAAAAAAAAAAGAGAGAAUGGUCGAGUAUCUUUGUGGUGGUCGAGUCGCGGGCGAUAUGGGUCGAUCGAGAAGUUUUGAAGUACGAAGUGGGCGAAGAAGUGAUCGUGAGUUAACUAUGGGUCGAAUAAGUUGCUCGACCAUAGUUAGAAGAUGUCUUAGAUUGAUGAGACGGACGUUUUCGAAGCAUAACAUUUUUGGAAGCACGACGGUUUAGAAGCUCGACGUUUUGGAAGAAUGACGUUUCUUCAGCAUGAAGUUUUCCGCAAAACUUCGUAUCAGCGGAAUAUUAUUUCGAAGACAUUGGAAACAUGAUGGGAAUUAAGCAGGACGGGAAGCAAGCACGACGGGAUUGAAGCACGACGGGAAAACCCGAAGUUGGCGAAAACCCUAAUUUCGGUAUUAUGAAAUUCUUUGAGGAAGCCGGAGGCUCGAGAAAUAUUUUUAAAGGAUAUCAGAUAUCAUCUGGAAUUUAUUAAAAAUAUUAAACUCAUCUGAAUGGGAGAAGAAAAAUAUUCAAGAUUAAUCGCGGGUCAGAAAUUUACGGGAAGGACCGAAAUCAGGCCAAUGGACCGAGAAGCUCGAGGUGACUCGUUGCAAGGGUUCAGAACGUGGUGUCAACCAUCCAGAAAGCUCAGUGUCUACAGAAGCUCGAGGUGUCACCGUGCAUGGAAGCUGCACAUGCAGCUUGACAUGUAGAAGCACGAGGUGGAUCGGCCAAGCACGAGAUGUCGCGACGCAUGCAACCGAAGCAUGCUGAUCGACAUGUGUGAGGAUGUGUGGCGCCUUGCAUGAGCUCCAGUCAUGCAGCCUGACAUCUGGGAGGAGUGGUGGCGUCCUGCAUGUUUCCUGGACAUGCAGCCAGCCAUGUGGAGCACGAGGUGGAUCGGCCAAGCACGAGAUGUCGCGACGCAUGCAACCGAAGCAUGCUGAUCGACAUGUGUGAGGAUGUGUGGCGCCUUGCAUGAGCUCCAGUCAUGCAGCCUGACAUCUGGGAGGAGUGGUGGCGUCCUGCAUGUGUCCUGGACAUGCAGCCAGCCAUGUGGAGCACGUGGUGCCGUCGUGCAUGCGUCCGGAGCCAUGCGGAGCGACACACAGGCUGCCACCAACCUGAAGCUGAUUGGCUGGUGUCUCCUAUAAAUACCCCACGACCCCAGCUCAUUUCUUCACAUCCAGACCUGUCCAAACCAAGUUAAAAACAUGAGAGAAAAGUAGAAAAAGAAAGCAAGUGAUUCCGAGCUAUAUCGAGGUUUUUGAGGGUUUUUGAGAGUUUUCGAGGUCAGUUCUCUACUGAUUUCGAGUCAGCACCUUGGGAAGGUUCUGUCCAACUGAAGAUCAAUCAAGGGAAGAUCAGUUCAGAUGGGAAGUCAACGUGGCUAUGGAGAGAGAGAUAAAGAAAGGGGUUGAUCUAGAGUAUGGUCGAUUCUGAAGACCGAUACUCCACCGAGAAGGCCAGUUCCGUCCAAUAGUCGAUUAUUUACGAUUGUGACGCGGAAGCUCUGUCCAAUUCAAUCCGUCCAAGCCAGUCAUAUUCUCCUACAAUUAAGUGAGGUACUGUCCAAGAUUAGUUCAGUUCCAUGGGUUCAGAUCAGUUGAAGUUCUACUCGAUACUGCACCGGGAAGUCGAAGAACUGUCCAGAAGCUAAUGGAGGUUCUGUCCGAGUCCAGAUCAGCCUAUCGAGGCCUUUCAGUUUCUUCAUGGUGAAGCCGAGGUUGUGUCCAAGACAAGAUCAGUCUAGUCCAGUCCAGUCAAGGCGUCUCUUGGGUUUUGGCUAAGUCCUCUCCGAUCAACCAGCUGCUUCUCGCCUAGAACACUGUGAGUUGGUUUGUUUGAAUUCCACUUGGAAUUUAGGGUAGUUUUGUGAGUUGGUUUGUUUGAAUUCCACUUGGAAUUUAGGGUAGAUCAAGUCUGCAUAUAGAUUAGAAUGAUCACGCUAUUGAAUGGUAGAGUCCUUAGGGUUAUUUUAUUUAUGGAACCGGACUCAGUUUAGCAAGGGCUAAGCUGAGAUGAAUGGAAUUAAGACUGAGUUAAUAACCUGACUAGGACUAGGGCUAGGAUGCAUCAUGUUUUCUAUUAUUGCGUGUUGAUAUUGUUGAGUGCAGGUUCCCGUUAUCUUUAAAGAUAGUUUCUCAGCGGGAGGCUGGACUAUCUGGGUAACGGUUUGAUUGUGUUGUUUAGUAUUGAUAUUAUUGUUUAGUAGUUAGUACUAAGGGUCUUAGGCCAUAUAGGCCGGACUACUGGUACUAUUGGUUUGUGUUGUAGAGUCGAGUGUCUAGUUUGGAUCUGGAACUUUGGCUUUAGGUUAGGUUCUAGAUUGAGUUUGUUUUGUUGUGAGUGUGCCGACAGUAUGUGCGAAAGCCGCCCAUACUAGGCUUGUGUAGGGGUGAUUAGUGUUUCCUCGGCCUCGUACCCAGCGGGUUCAAGGAAACCCCUUAUUCGCUGGAUCGGGAAGACUCAGACGAACGGUGUCAUGUACUAUGGCUGAGUAUUACACGACGGUGUAAUGUGGCAGUGACCCGAAGGACUGUGGGCUGUCGCGCGGUGACCCGAAUGACUGUGGGCCGCGGUCGGUUGAAAGUUCCUUCUUCUGGCCUUUGUGGUAGGGAGAUAGGAUAUUGCCGAUAGAGAGGAGGAACACGAUGUCACCAGGGCCCAGGUUAGAGUGUUGUGUUAGAGUGUCGUAGAGGGUUAUGGAACCCUCGAGUUAGUGUAGCACCGAUAUACGGUGUUAUGAGUUAGAUCGAGUCGUAGUUACUCAUAGUCUUAUUAUUGUGAUUGUGUUUGUGGUUGAUUGAUUUGGUUGCAGGUUCUGACGUUAAGUCUAAGUCUGGUUUAGGUACCGGAUUAGGCUUGAUGUGUAUUUCGUUAGUGUAGGCCUGACGUUGGCCUGUAUGUGUUUGAGUGAUUGCUUGUGAAGGGUGGUGGAUAUUAAAGCUAUGCGGUAUCAUUGGUUGGCCGAUCAUGUUCUUGUUUGAUUGUUGGUCGAUCGAUUAAUGAUACUUGUAUAGUCUAAGUGUCUAAUACUACAUGAGUAUUGAACUCAGGCGUAUAUAUGGUUAACUAGGGAUUGCUUGUUGACUUGUUUUAAUGCAGGUUCCCGUUACUUGAAGCUAGAUCAUGGCAGGAGGCCAAGUCUAACUUAGUAACGGUUUGCUUAGCCUAAGCUUUUAUUGCAUGCUAGGGCUAGAUUGAUUGUUAUUUUGGGUUGUCUGGGUAGAGUCUAGGUUGCGGGUAGAGGCCGCCAGCUCACUGAGUAAUACUAGAUUACUCAUCCAACUCCGUUGUCCUUUUUGCAGGUCGCUUUAGGUAAGGAUGAUCGGAUAGCUUCGUGCUGGACGUUAGGACCGCCGGUGUAGAUUUUCAUGCCUUUUGUAAACGGUAUUGUGAAUUGUGUUAUGUUGACUCGAUUUGGCAUUAGGCCGGGCCCAGUCUUGAAUUAUUCAAUGUAUGAAUAUUUCUUGAAUCAAUAAAAGUAAUUGUUUUAUAUGCGCUUCAUGAGUACUCUGAUAUUUGACUAGUCCGGUCUAACACAACGUUAGGUCGAGGUACGGGUUGAAAAGCCUUAGGCCUUGAUCUAACGGAAAACGCUAACUCUAGGUACGGGUUGCAAAGCCUUAUGCCUUGACGCAGCGGGACGAGUUAGUGGAUGAACUGGUCAGGUCGUGGAGUAAAGUUUGUGACUCUGACCGGAUUGUCCCUAGCCCGUCACGUAGCGCUUCCGGACCAUGGUGUUGGGUUGGAUGGUCAGUCAUGUUCUUGUUUGAUUGUUGGCUGGCCGGUUGGCCUUUCAUCUCCAACCCUUGGUGUGGGUCGUCCGUCGGUCAUGUUCUUGUUUGAUUGUUGGCUGGUGGGUCGACCUAUGCUUAGGACGGUUCGGGGGUGUUACAGAGGUGGUAUCAGAGCAUGGUUUUGUCCAUGCUUCCGGAACUCAUGAUUUAAUCGGUUUUAAAUAUUUAUCGAGUCAAAAGAGUCACAAAAGGCAUUAGGGAAACCGGUCACGUCCAGCGAUAGGAUUUGUUGUUUUAGGAAUUAGGAUUGAGAUAGUGGAAUCUAGAAUUGCUAGGUUGCUUGUUUAGAACUGUUAGGUUGCUGGUUAGCAUUGCUAGGUUGUUGUUAGUAGACUAUUGGGAUUAGUUGUCUACUAACUUGUGUGAAGUGUUCUUUUGAGUUGCAGCGAGUAAGUGUGUUUGUUGAUCGGAACUUUAAGGAAUGAAAACCUUAAAGUGGAGGGAGUUCGAGGCCAAACCCAAACCGAAGCAAAAGAGGAGAGACAGGUUCAGAGGGACUGGACAGUGGUAUGGACUGGACAGAUGGGAGGAAACAAGACUUCGUUGGGAAAUGACUUCAUCAGUAGUUGGGAAGACGAAGAUCGAGAAGGUUGAGGAAUCUGUACAAGGAUGGUAUCUAUCAAAACGACAAGAUAGUAUCAUGGGCGAUGAAUGUGUUAUGACAGAGAAAAAGUAGGAGAAUGACUAAGUGAUCAUUCAACUGAUGAGAUAUGAAGACGAUUGUGGAGGCCUUGAAGAGGACGCUCAAGGAACCGUGGUGGACAGAGUAAAGAAGUUAUGGAGAAUGUUGUGAAGAAGAGCAAUUUCACAGCUAAGAAUUCGAGGACGAAUUCUAUUAAGGGGGAGAGAAUGUAGAAACCCGUAAAAAAAAAAAAAAAAAAAAAGAGAGAAUGGUCGAGUAUCUUUGUGGUGGUCGAGUCGCGGGCGAUAUGGGUCGAUCGAGAAGUUUUGAAGUACGAAGUGGGCGAAGAAGUGAUCGUGAGUUAACUAUGGGUCGAAUAAGUUGCUCGACCAUAGUUAGAAGAUGUCUUAGAUUGAUGAGACGGACGUUUUCGAAGCAUAACAUUUUUGGAAGCACGACGGUUUAGAAGCUCGACGUUUUGGAAGAAUGACGUUUCUUCAGCAUGAAGUUUUCCGCAAAACUUCGUAUCAGCGGAAUAUUAUUUCGAAGACAUUGGAAACAUGAUGGGAAUUAAGCAGGACGGGAAGCAAGCACGACGGGAUUGAAGCACGACGGGAAAACCCGAAGUUGGGCGAAAACCCUAAUUUCGGUAUUACGAAAUUCUUUGAGGAAGCCGGAGGCUCGAGAAAUAUUUUUAAAGGAUAUCAGACAUCAUCUGGAGUUUAUUAAAAAUAUUAAACUCAUCUGAAUGGGAGAAGAAAAAUAUUCAAGAUUAAUCGCGGGUCAGAAAUUUACGGGAAGGACCGAAAUCAGGCCAAUGGACCGAGAAGCUCGAGGUGACUCGUUGCAAGGGUUCAGAACGUGGUGUCAACCAUCCAGCAAGCUCAGUGUCUACAGAAGCUCGAGGUGUCAUCGUGCAUGGAAGCUGCACAUGCAGCUUGACAUGUAGAAGCACGAGGUGGAUCGGCCAAGCACGAGAUGUCGCGACGCAUGCAACCGAAGCAUGCUGAUCGACAUGUGUGAGGAUGUGUGGCGCCUUGCAUGAGCUCCAGUCAUGCAGCCUGACAUCUGGGAGGAGUGGUGGCGUUCUGCAUGUUUCCUGGACAUGCAGCCAGCCAUGUGGAGCACGAGGUGGAUCGGCCAAGCACGAGAUGUCGCGACGCAUGCAACCGAAGCAUGUUGAUCGACAUGUCUGAGGAUGUGUGGCGCCUUGCAUGAGCUCCAGUCAUGCAGCCUGACAUCUGGGAGGAGUGGUGGCGUCCUGCAUGUGUCCUGGACAUACAGCCAGCCAUGUGGAGCACGAGGUGCCGCCGUGCAUGCGUCCGGAGCCAUGCGGAGCGACACACAGGCUGCCACCAACCUGAAGCUGAUUGGCUGGUGUCUCCUAUAAAUACCCCACGACCCCAGCUCAUUUCUUCACAUCCAGACCUGUCCAAACCAAGUUAAAAACAUGAGAGAAAAGUAGAAAAAGAAAGCAAGUGAUUCCGAGCUAUAUCGAGGGUUUUUGAGGGUUUUUGAGAGUUUUCGAGGUCAGUUCUCUACUGAUUUCGAGUCAGCACCUUGGGAAGGUUCUGUCCAACUGAAGAUCAAUCAAGGGAAGAUCAGUUCAGAUGGGAAGUCAACGUGGCUAUGGAGAGAGAGAUAAAGAAAGGGGUUGAUCUAGAGUAUGGUCGAUUCUGAAGACCGAUACUCCACCGAGAAGGCCAGUUCCGUCCAAUAGUCGAUUAUUUACGAUUGUGACGCGGAAGCUCUGUCCAAUUCAAUCCGUCCAAGCCAGUCAUAUUCUCCUACAAUUAAGUGAGGUACUGUCCAAGAUUAGUUCAGUUCCAUGGGUUCAGAUCAGUUGAAGUUCUACUCGAUACUGCACCGGAAAGUCGAAGAACUGUCCAGAAGCUAAUGGACGUUCUGUCCGAGUCCAGAUCAGCCUAUCGAGGCCUUUCAGUUUCUUCAUGGUGAAGCCGAGGUUGUGUCCAAGACAAGAUCAGUCCAGUCCAGUCCAGUCAAGGCGUCUCUUGGGUUUUGGCUAAGUCCUCUUCGAUCAACCAGCUGCUUCUCGCCUAGAACACUGUGAGUUGGUUUGUUUGAAUUCCACUUGGAAUUUAGGGUAGUUUUGUGAAUUGGUUUGUUUGAAUUCCACUUGGAAUUUAGGGUGGAUCGAGUCUGCAUAUAGAUUAGAAUGAUCACGCUAUUGAAUGGUAGAGUCCUUAGGGUUAUUUUAUUUAUGGAACCGGACUCAGUUUAGCAAGGGCUAAGCUGAGAUGAAUGGAAUUAAGACUGAGUUAAUAACCUGACUAGGACUAGGGCUAGGAUGCAUCAUGUUUUCUAUUAUUGCGUGUUGAUAUUGUUGAGUGCAGGUUCCCGUUAUCUUUAAAGAUAGUUUCUCAGCGGGAGGCUGGACUAUCUGGGUAACGGUUUGAUUGUGUUUUUUAGUAUUCAUAUUAUUGUUUAGUAGUUAGUACUAAUUGUCUUAGGCCAUAUAGGCCGGACUACUGGUACUAUUGGUUUGUGUUGUAGAGUCGAGUGUCUAGUUUGGAUCUGGAACUUUGGCUUUAGGUUAGGUUCUAGAUUGAGUUUGUUUUGUUGUGAGUGUGCCGACAGUAUGUGCGAAACCCGCCCAUACUAGGCUUGUGUAGGGGUGAUUAGUGUUUCCUCGGCCUCGUACCCAGCGGGUUCAAGGAAACCCCUUAUUCGCUGGAUCGGGAAGACUCAGACGAACGGAGUCAUGUACUAUGGCUGAGUAUUACACGACGGUGUAAUGUGGCAGUGACCCGAAGGACUGUGGGCUGUCGCGCGGUGACCCGAAUGACUGUGGGCCGCGGUCGGUUGAAAGUUCCUUCUUCUGGCCUUUGUGGUAGGGAGAUAGGAUAUUGCCGAUAGAGAGGAGGAACACGAUGUCACCAGGGCCCAGGUUAGAGUGUUGUGUUAGAGUGUCGUAGAGGGUUAUGGAACCCUCGAGUUAGUGUAGCACCGAUAUACGGUGUUAUGAGUUAGAUCGAGUCGUAGUUACUCAUAGUCUUAUUAUUGUGAUUGUGUUUGUGGUUGAUUGAUUUGCUUGCAGGUUCUGACGUUAAGUCUAAGUCUGGUUUAGGUACCAGAUUAGGCUUGAUGUGUAUUUCGUUAGUGUAGGCCUGACGUUGGCCUGUAUGUGUUCGAGUGAUUGCUUGUGAAGGGUGGUGGAUAUUAAAGCUAUGCGGUAUCAUUGGUUGGCCGAUCAUGUUCUUGUUUGAUUGUUGGUCGAUCGAUUAAUGAUACUUGUAUAGUCUAAGUGUCUAACACUACAUGAGUAUUGAACUCAGGCGUAUAUAUGGUUAACUAGGGAUUGCUUGUUGACUUGUUUUAAUGCAGGUUCCCGUUACUUGAAGCUAGAUCAUGGCAGGAGGCCAAGUCUAACUUAGUAACGGUUUGCUUAGCCUAAGCUUUUAUUGCAUGCUAGGGCUAGAUUGAUUGUUAUUUUGGGUUGUCUGGGUAGGGUCUAGGUUGCGGGUAGAGGCCGCCAGCUCACUGAGUAAUACUAGAUUACUCAACCAACUCUGUUGUCCUUUUUGCAGGUCGCUUUAGGUAAGGAUGAUCGGAUAGCUUCGUGCUGGACGUUAGGACCGCCGGUGUAGAUUUUCAUGCCUUUUGUAAACGGUAUUGUGAAUUGUGUUAUGUUGACUCGAUUUGGCAUUAGGCCGGGCCCAGUCUUGAAUUAUUCAAUGUAUGAAUAUUUCUUGAAUCAAUAAAAGUAAUUGUUUUAUAUGCGAUUCAUGAGUACUCUGAUAUUUGACUAGUCCGGUCUAACACAACGUUAGGUCGAGGUACGGGUUGAAAAGCCUUAGGCCUUGAUCUAACGGAAAACGCCAACUCUAGGUACGGGUUGCAAAGCCUUAUGCCUUGACGCAGCGGGACGAGUUAGUGGAUGAACUGGUCAAGGUCGUGGAGUAAAGUUUGUGACUCUGACCGGAUUGUCCCUAGCCCGUCACGUAGCGCUUCCGGACCAUGGUGUUGGGUUGGACGGUCAGUCAUGUUCUUGUUUGAUUGUUGGCUGGCCGGUUGGCCUUUCAUCUCCAACCCUUGGUGUGGGUCGUCCGUCGGUCAUGUUCUUGUUUGAUUGUUGGCCGGUGGGUCGACCUAUGCUUAGGACGGUUCGGGGGUGUUACACCCGUGGGGUUCGAUUUGCUUUUGAAACGAACGUCUUCGCUGGAGGGUUCCUUCAUCCUCUAUAGGGUUUUGCAUCUUUUUGAAUCUAGGGACCUCGUUUGGGAGUUGUUUCAUGCCCCAGCCCUUGCGGAUCUCUGUGUUGUUGACGUUCAGGGGCCAUUGUCUUCUAUCGAUGGAGGUUUUCAGCGCUUCCAUGAAGCAUGUAGUCGCAUUCAUCCCUUGGAGAAAAUGUGUUCGGAGGUCUCCUAUCUCCGUCUGGUGCCUGCUGGGGGCUCUCUUCCGAGGGGGUUUUGUCGAGGUGUUCGUGCCCCGCUUGUUUAUAUGUGAGAUCACCGGUUGAUAAUUGUUGAAGCUUUUGGCUAUCUUAUCUAUGUGAGGCAGAGGACGAGGGUCAUGUGGGGACCAGACUCUAUGAGCAGGUGCCACCUUGCAGGUUUUUAGGGGAGACCAUGCGAAGCGGUCGACGUAAGCUCUCUAGAAGCUUUUUGGAUGUAGGGUCCGGACUCUGCAGAGGGUUCCUAAAUUGCCCCUACUGUUGACCCCUGAUUCCUUAUUCCGCGGGAUCUGAGGUCUCCUCUGUAGUUGCUAUAAGACCUUGGUUUUCCCCUUUAAGGUGGUCUGGUAGCAGGACCUAGAAUUCUCCUGGUCUCCUCUGAUUGCUCUGAUGCUUCUUUGCUAAGAUGAGCCUUGGCUUUCUCUGAAAGGAUUUCUCGGAGAUGCCCCUUUUGGGCAGUUCGUUGACCUCGAUCUUCAGGGCGUCGCAGUCUUCCAUUUUGUGGCCGUGAUCGCGACCGGAAGUCGCACCAGAGUCCUGGGUUCUGGAACGAGUCAGGUGCUUUCUUCUUUGGGGGCCAUUUGACCUGUUGGCCCAUCUGCCUCAGCGUGUUAACCAGCUCUGGUGUGGAUAUUGAGAGAUGGGAGAUAUCUGGCCAGGUAGACACAGACAUCCCUUCUUCUUUUUCUAAUGGGCGCUAUUGGAACCUGCCCUGGUUCCUGCUUCCGGAGUCCUUGGAUUCCUUUUGGGAGGAUCUUUCUUCUUGGUCUCCCUGGUUUGAUCGGGUGGACCUCUGAUCCUGUUUCGGUUUAGCCUUGGCGCGGCUAGCGACGUCCUCUUCCCACUUCACAUGUGCCCAUGCUCGGGAUAACACAUCCUCCAUGGGUUUGCAAGGUUACAUGGUUAGCUAUUUGUAGAGCCCUCCGUCUGGAAGUAGGCAUCUCUUGAAGGCAGAGAUUGCGGUAGGGAUAUGUUGGGGAAAAAUUUCCCGGUAUUAUUUCCCCAGCCUCCAGGCAGGACUCAGUUCCCCAGAUCACUGGUAAAUGAGUACCCCGGGUCCCCGCCGGAGGAAACCUUAAGCUCGGCUCCUGGACCCUGUGAAGGACCCUAAGAUCGGCUCACUCGAAUGGAUCAGAUUUGGAUAUGAACUCGAAAUGGAGAACUAGAUGGAAUUAAGGGUCGCACGAAGGUUGCGGAUUGGCCUUCGAUAUUCCCGACUUCAGAUGGUGCUUGAUAUGACUCACAAGUCCACCAAAUGAAGAAUCUCGAACCCUUACUUGAUAUGACUCACAAGACCAACGAAAAAGAGAAGUGUUUACUUGGAUAUGACUCACCAACAAAAUAAGAACAAGUUCUUAAACGAAGAACAAAGAGUUUAACUCAAACUUUAGACAAAAACGAUUUCUGAUCUAUUAAAAUGAAAGAGUUUCAUACUUAUAGAGUUUUGUAGAUGAUAUCACUCAAAUUACUCUAAAGAGUGUUACUCUCAUCAAAAGAGGUUCAAAUGUAAUACUUAGGGAUCGAAUCCACAGAGACUCUAGAAUUACUCAACAGACUUAAAUAAUUAGAAAUGAAGAUAGACUGAAAGGUUUUAAUAGUUUUAGAAGCAGUAAAUGAUAAAUCGAAAACAACAGUGAUUCAAUAGAUUGAAUUGAAGUGGUUUCAAGAUUGGGAAAGCAGCUAGAUUCAGGCAAUUCUCAGGUAUAAAAUGUAUGCACUUAGUUUAGACUAAAGGGUUUAAUGGUUCUUGAACGAAACAUUGAUUUAACCAGAUAGGUUAUCUUCACUAGAUCUCGGAUCUCAACUGUCGUAUUUGGAUCUCGAGAGAGUGUCGAUCGAUGUGACUUGAUGUACAUCGACCGAUACACCUUUGUAACGAUCGACCGACAGAACGAUAGUUGCGUCGAUCGACGGUUAUUCUAGCGAGCUUUGCGAACGGGUUUAACUUGUUAUCUAACCUUCUCAGACCAACUGUCGUUGCGCCUGAGUUAGUUAGAUCACGCAAAUGGGUUCAGGUAUUGAGGGGAAACGGUUAGUUGGACUCAAUUAAUCCUAUGAUCUAAAAUGAAGGUGAUCAAUCUCAAUUUUAGCAUUAAGUCCAUAAGCAAUGAAAGAACAAUCAAAACACCUUUUUAACAGUCAUAUUAGCAGUACAUAAUUUCAACCAUGGUGAGAAACCUAAAUCUAACAAUUGGUUUACUCAAACAUAUUCAUGAGAGACAAAGUCAUGAUGGUGUGAAAUAAACUCAAAUGAAACAUAGAACACAAAUAGAUAGAGUAAUAAAAAUAAAGGAGUUCAAGAUCUUCUCUGUUUUGCAGUCUCAAAUCUAUCUCUCCAUUCCUAAGCUCUCCUAAUGGUAGCCAAAAUGCUCCUCUCCAAAACUAGGUCUUUUGCAAGUGUCUGUUAGAAAUGAUUCAAAACCCUAGUACAUAUAGCCUAACAGGUGGCUAGGGACUUAAGUUGUAAAUAAUAGAACUUCUGGGAAAUGAAAUCUUUUAAUUUGCGAUUUCAUCCGUGUGACUGGGCAUCGAUCGAUGCACAUGUGUGUAUGUCGAUCGAUGGUAAGUGAUUAUGAUCGACCGAUGUUGCUCUUCAAGCGUCGAUCGAUUUUCCUUGCAUAAAAGCAUUCUAAAAUGUCCCAAAAGUAUCAUUUCCUUCCAUCUGGUGAAUAAACCUGUAUUUGCUUUGAAAAGACUCUAAAACAUGAUUAAUACAUCUUAAAACCUUUAUAUACCAUGUAUAAAAACGGGUGAAAAUCAUAGUAUAUCAACUCCCCCAGACUUAUCUUUUGACUUGUCCUCAAGUUAAACCAAUGGACAAUCUCUCUGGAAGAGGGUUGAAAACAUCAGGGACUCACAGAUUUGAAACAUUGAAAUUAUCACCUCUAUAAUAUUGCAUUCCACAUCUAAGGUUUCUUCUUACAGAUAUACAUUAUGCAAUAUCCUAGCUUAGCAACCAAAAUCAUCUAGCCAACAAUCUUAACUGAUCUUAUUAUCAAUCUCCUCAACCAACCUCAUUUCUUAAUGUAAAAAGUGUAGGGUUUACCUUGGGAGUAUCGAUCACAGGAUGCAAGGAUUUCAGACAAGUAUCUGGAGCUGCAGGUAAAAGUUAGUUCCUAGUUUCUCUCUCUCUAAAUUUCUCUCUUGGGUCAGAGUUUGCUUCCAUUGCAGGAUCAGUGACCAAGAUUGGACAGGCUUCCAUGAAUCAAAACUUAAUGGUGGGUGUAACACCCUCGAACCGUCCUAGGCAUAGGUCGACCCACCGGCCAACAAUCAAACAAGAACAUGACCGACGGACCAACCAACACCAAGGAUUGGAGAUGAAAGGCCAACCGGCCAGCCAACAAUCAAACAAGAACAUGACUGACCGUCCAACCCAACACCAUGGUCCGGAAGCGCUACGUGACGAGCUAGGGACGAACCGGUCCGAGUCACAGAUUUAUUCCGCAACCUAGACUAGUUCAUCCACUAACACGUCCCGCUAAAUCAAGGCUUAAGGCUUUGCAACCUGUACCAUGAGUUAACGGUUCCGUUAGAUCGAGGCCUAAGGCUUUUCAACCCGUACCAAGACCUAACGUUGUGUUGGUUCGGACUAAACCAAUAUCAUAUUGGACCCGUUAAUUUUUUUAAGAUUUAAAUCCAAGAUUUUUAAGAAUAUUUGCAAUACUUUAGGGAUCCCAAAUCCGAUAAAACGCAACGGAAACAUAAAUCGUAUAAAAAUCAAACCGUAGCCAAAUGCACUGCAAAUCUACUCCGGUGGCCUACGCGUCCAAUCUCCUAUAACCUAAACUCCUGCAAAAAGGACAACGAGAGUUGGGUGAGUAACAGAAGGUCACUCAGUGAGCUGGCUACCUAAAUACCUUAACCUAGUAGCUAGCUCAGACAACCCAAAAAUAACAAUCAAUCUAGCCUAAGCGCAGAAAACAAAGCUUUAAGGCUAAUCCCCAAAACCGCACCGAUUAAGGUAUGCUCGACCUUAAUCUAAUAAUACUAAUAAUAGACAUGGCCAAACGACCAUCUACUCAACGGAUCCCUAAUCUAACAAUCAAGACUCGAUCAACACCGUAUCUCGGUGCUAACACUAUCUCGAGGGUUCCUCACCCUCAAGACGACACAAUAAAACUAACUCGACACACUAUUCUAACUCUAGACUCAAUACUCUAACAUGGGCCCUGGUGAUCUCGUGUUCCUCCUCAACAUCGGCAAUAUCCUAUCUCCCUACCACAAAGGCCAGAAGAAGGAACUUUCAACCGACCGCGGCCCACAGUCCUUCGGGUCACCGCGCGACAGCCCACAGUCCUUCGGGUCACUGCCACAUUACACCGUCGUGUAAUAACUCAGCCCUAGGCCAUGAUCCCGUCUCUCUGAGUCUUCCCGAUCCAACGAAUAAGGGGUUUCCUUAAACCCGCUGGGUACGAGGCUGAGGAAACACUAAUCACCCCUAAACAAGCCUAGUAUAGACGGGUUACGCUCAUACUGUCGGCUACAACACACUAAUCCUAAUAAGACCAAGACUCCUACCACAAACUUAAAUACACUAAGGAGUCUACGACACUAACACCAGUACUCGUAGUCCAGCCUAUAUGGCAUAGGACUCGUAGUACUAAACUCGACACGGAUGGAAAUCGGCCUAUAUGGCCUAAGAUCUCCUGAACAAUACCAUCCCUGCACAACAACAAUCACUACCAAACCAAGCAUUCAAUAGUCCUAAUAUCUCUAAGGCAGGUCUACUCCGUUACUAAACUACCCAUAAAUAAAUAAAGGAAAACAUGCAUCUCAAUCCUAACAAUUCAGCUAGGCCAUAAUUUAUCAUACUAUACCGGUUAAUGCAUCAUUCAUCCUAGUCCUAGUCAGGUUAUAACUCAGUCUUAAUUCCAUUAUAUCUCAGCUUAGCCCAUGCUAAACUGAGUCCAAUUCAUAAAUAAAAAUAACCCUAGGACUCUAUCAUGCAUCAGUGUGAUAUUACUACUCUAUAUGCAACUCGAUCUAUCCUAAGUUCCAAGUGGAACUCAAACAAACCAACUCACAGUGUUCUUGCAGCUGGUUGAUCGGAGAGAGCCUAGCAAAAACCCAAUGCCUCUGUCUUCAAUGGACUGGUAUGGACGAAUCAGGACUUGGACAGAACCUCCUCGGAGUUCUGGAUCUUCUUCUCAGACUUUCGGUAGAACAAUGACUCUUAAAAAUGCUCUAACUUCUUCAAAACAGCUCCAAAUCCUACACUUCCUUUUUCUACUUCACUUUCUCUCUCUAGCCCAAGUUUUAGAGUGAUGUUUGAGUGUGUGAAAUGAAUGAAACGAGCUGGGGGAGCUGGGUUUAUAUAGAUAUGGCCAACCAUUGAAAUGGUGCCACUCCAUCGCCUGUGUGUCGUCCCGCAUGCUUCCGGUCGCAUGCGCGGCGACACACGGGCGUCCAAAUAUCACCAUGCAUGACUCCUCUGCAUGCCAGAAGCCAGCACCACGUCCAGAUGUCAUUCAGCAUGGCUGGAGCUCAUGCAUCGCGACACACGGGCCUCUGGGUGUCAAGACGAUGCCAUGUCGUGCUUUGGGUGUCAUGCUGCAUGUGAGGCUUCAUCCUGCGGAGACAUGUCGUGCUACGAAGGCACUAAGAUGCUUGGAUGAAGGACAGCACGUCCUGAUCUCUCAGAUAGGGCCACCUCGAGCUUCCCGGUUGAUUUGUGCGAUUUCGAUCUUUUUGGUGAAUUUUCGUCCCGCGAUCAAUCCCGAAUAUUUUUCCGCUCCCGUUCUGAUUCUCUAAAUAUUUUUAAUAAACUCCAGAUGAAUACUGAGAUCCUCUAAAAAUAUUUCCCGAGCCUCCGGCUUCUUCCAAUAAUUUCGAAAAACCGAAAUUAGGGUUUUCGAACAACUUCGGGUUUUCCCGUCGUGCUUGCUUCCCGUCCUGCUUACUCCCGUCAUGCUUCCAAAUUAUAAUAUCUCUGAAAUAAUAUUCUGAUGAUAGAUGUGAAGUUUUGCGGAAAACUUAGUGGCUAAGAAACGUCGGGUUUCUGAAACGUCUAGCUUCUAAACCGUUGUGCUUCCAAAAAUGUGAUUCUUCCAAAAUCUUCGUCUGAUUAAUCUAAGAAUCUUCUAAGAAAGGUAGAGAAGCUUAAUAUGUCUCAUGGUUCAUUCACGAUCCAUUCUUCGACCACAUCCUACUUCGAACUUCUCGGUUGGCCCGUACCGCCCGCGGUUCGAUCAUCAAGUUGAUGCUCGACCAAUCUUCUGUCUUCUCCGAACCAUGUUAAGCUUUGUGUGAUCAAAAGUCAACAUUACUCCAAAUAUGUAAUCUCCCAAAAGCUUGGCUCCAGAUUCUGACUUUCCCUUGCUCGACCAUUUUAUCCCGAAGGGCGGGUUAUCACAGUGGGUGCCACCAAGUUCUGUUCACUUCUUUUUGACCUAUAUCCAAGAGUUCUUUGCGAAAGCUAGCUUUGAAGAUUGCCGCCUCCAAGUCCCAUUUCGAACUCUUUUAUUUGAGUCUUUAUGAAUCAAGCCUUAAUGGUUUUAGCCACCAAGUCAUGUUCAGACUCAUCCUAAUUAACAAUAGAUUAUAUAUAUAUAUAUAUAUAUAUAUAUUUUUUUUUUUAUAUACUCACUAACUAAUCUAGGGUCAAAAUUUAGAGAGAGAAAAUGUGAUAAAUAAUCUAAACCAGGCGUUACCUUCCAGACUUGUCUGAAAAAUCCGAUCCCAUGUAUACCAAGCCCCAAAACAAGCAGUGAAGUCAGGUUAGUGUUGAAGGUUAGCUUCGGUUCUUUCUAACAAGCUAGCAAGUGUGCAUAGUUGACUGGUUGAUCCACUUUAGCAUCUAUAGUAUUAUCUGCAGUCAGUAAAUCUAGAAUGGUGCUAGAAAGUGGUUAGACAUUCAAGUAGAAAUCAUUAGUUCAUAAUCCCCUUCUUGACUCAAUAAAAUUAUUUUUGAAAAGAUUUUUGACAAAAACUCAAGAAAAUGGUGUUAGUAACUACCUCCCCCAGACUUAAAAUGUACCGUCUCGGUGCAAAGCGUCCAAGGGUAGGUUAAAAUCAAGUUAGAUGUUUGAGAAUGUUAGAGUAAGAAUGAAGUACCUAUCCGUACUACACAUCGAUCGAUGUAAUCCUCUCCAUAUCGAUCGAUGUGACUCGCCCAGAAUCGAUCGAUGUAAUCCUCUCCAUAUCGAUCGAUGGCGAAGCACAAAAAUUUUCGCAUGUGCUUGGAGUCAAACUCGAAGUUCCUUGCCUAAUGUUAGCUCUGUUAGAAAAUCAAGCAUAAGAAAUAAUAAGCAUCCUCAAACAUAAAAUAUAGGUUUAAAAACAUAAAUCCUACAAGUUCGGAAAAUAAAUAAACAAGUUCAUAAUAAGAGGAGAAGAGAUAGAGAUGGGAGGACUAAUCGGUGUCCUCAUCAGUCGCCUCAUCGUCCUUUGGGGAUGGGUCCCUGCGUGCUGCUGGUGCUGGUGCCUGCGCUCAUGUGGCUCUCUUGCUCCGACAAGACACUCUAGCCCAGAUGGCCUGAAGAGCGUCCACCACGAACCUCUGAAAGUCUCCCUGGUCGUGCAUAGGGAUCUCUGGGAUGUUCGGGAAGUCAGGAAGAGGAGGUGCCUGUGCGUCCCGAGCUCUGGUACGGCGAAUGCUGGGAGGUCGGCGUGACAUGUUCCGCGGGUUGCGGAGGAAUGCAUCAUCUGGCAUGCAUCGAAGCUGCUCCACGUUGUUGCCGAAGUCAGUGAUCCUCCUAUCUGGUAGGGGUAGAAGGCGAUGCUCGUCGCGGAUCCUGAGGCACCAGAGCUUCCCUUCCUCGAGCCAUAGCCAGUGCAUCAAGUGCUGCUCGUCGAGGAAGGCGUGGUCGCGGUCGGCAGAGCGAGAGUCGAGGUGGAUGCCGAGAUACUGAAAAAUCGGGGUCAGAAGACUCCCAACUGUCUCCUUCUUGUUCUUGCCCUUGCUGGUGAAGGGCUUCUUCUUCAGCUCCACCAAAUGUGCGGCAAAGACAGCUCCGAGGUUUGGCGGGCUUACCUCGCCAUCCUCGUCCAACUCAACCAAAUCCACCACGCCGUUCACUGUGCAGAAAAGUAGUGUGAGCUCCUUUAUCCUGACCUUGUUGGGCUCCAUCUUGCAAACAAGUGUGUUUGCAAGAAGCCGUAGGAAGUAGCGAAGUGCAGGAUGGCGGAUGUCUGAUAGCACAGCCCUGUUCGUGUUCCAAACUCCUGUGCCGACGAUGUCCCAGAAUCACUCAAUGUGUGAGAAAGGUGGGACCGUGUAAGAGGCGAUGCUCUCAUCGAAACCGUAGAUGCGGCAGAGCUCGAAGAUAGUGAUUGUGACACCCCCGAUCGUAGAUGACCGGAAAUGACACGGUCGAUGUUCCUCGAUGGUCGAUCCGAGGUUCUCAGAAUACUUCCGAUGACCUUAGACUAACAACCAAAGAACACCAACGCUCCUAUCAGAUAUCACUCUAGGCUUUUCAACCCGAAAAAGCAAUACCCGAUAGUUAGUUCGUCCGGACAAGGACUAAUAUCAUAUGGAACCCGUACUUUAAAAACAUUCUUUAUAUAUCAUUUUGAAGCAUCUUUCAAAAUUUGUUAUAAAUUAACCUCGACGUUUUCGGUCUACAAAUCUUAUACAUAAGAUAUAUCAAAAUGACUUUGCAAGGAUAAUAAAACUACCGCUGGCUAAUGAUGUUCCUUCCCAUCCUAGAGUAAGGUCUCCCGUCUACUGGUUACCUGCAUCACGAAUGAGUCAUGAGUAACUAGUUUACUCAGUGAGCCUAGUCCCGCACCCCAACAUAUAUUAAUAAUAUCUAAAGCAAUCAACUUCAUUUGUAUGCAGUGGAAAUAUAUUCCAUAUCUGGAUAUUUAUAUAUAAGGAAUAUUCUUCCAUCAUUGUGAAUCUAAUCAUAUACCUCACUUCCUAUUCCCGUCUCUCAUAUCAUUCAUAUAAUCAUAUUUAUAUAUAUAUAUAUAUAUAUACCAGACCCGAGAAACCACAAAGGCUAAACGAGUCUAGCAAGUUAGCAUCACCAUCAUCGCCAUCAGAUAUUCAAAAAUUGAACAUCUAACGCUGCAUGCAGUUACACGGCCUCCAAGGUGCGACCCCAUCAUCGUGUCUUUGUGACCUUGUUCCAUAUCGCAGGACCAAUUCACGGUAAUCAUCAUUCAUACGGGAAUAUUUUGGAAGACAGGUUUAUAAUAAGACUUCACAUGAUUAAUACUUCCAUACUUAAUUAUAUUUAACACUAUACAUAUGUAUUAGUGCUUGAGAACAAGUACUAAGGUUUGGAAUAAACCUCUAUGAUCAUUCAUAAAUAUUUAAUAAGUGUUUACACUAAGUAAACACCUUACCAAUUCAAUAUUGAUCAAGAGACAAAGCCUAUCAAUCAUCUACAAUCAGUACGUUCAAUCAAGAAAUAUUCAUUCACUACUCAUCAAUCAUCUAUCUAGACUCACCUUUGAUUCUUUGAGAUUGGCUAAUCAAGACUAGACUCGAGCUCAAGCUAAUCACACUCCAUUUCCGGUACACUUGAGAUUCAAAACGGUCACAAUUAUCUGACUGAUCCGACCACUCUCCUUGAUAUCUGAAUUCAAACCAAGUGACUGAGCGGCUACAAGGAGUGACUGGACCGAUCUAGCAAAACUCUACAACCAACUAGACAGAAAACAGUUCUAUUUGAUGAACCAGCCUUAUCCUUGAACUUUACUCGACCACUGACCUGAAACAGAGCAGUUCAUAACAUGAUCUUCAAUCCAACAGUUCGGUUCUGAAGAAGAUAUUUAAAUCAGAUCCUAACAGCUCGGUUUACAACAAGGUUAAUCAGUUCAGCUUAGGUGUAGUCCAGACCAUGACCAGUUCAUUUCAGAUUAAAUCCAAUCAGUUUAUAAUAGAUGAGAUAAUUCUAUUCCAGCAAACUGAUUUAUUCUGAAAUAAAUAAAUCUGAACCGAAGACAGGUUAGACAAUUGAUCCAUGACAACCGCUUAACUAAAUAACAUCUGAUUCUGAUCAAGACAUGUCUGAGACAAGAGAUUGAAGCUUACAACAGCAACUGAUGACCAUAUGAACUCAGAUAAUCCUCCCCUUGAAACUGAACUCAUGGCUGGACUGUUUUAAAAGGAUAAAUCAGAAUUGGUUCAUCACAAAAACAGAACAAGACCUAGGGUUUACUUUGGGUACCUCACCUUCUGAUCUUCUACACAGCAGGGAACUGAGCUAGAGGAUGGAACAAAGUCAUCUAAGGUCGUGGCUAAUUUUCCCAUAUUUUUUGUUCUGAUUUUUCUCUCACUUUUUCUCUUCUUUCUCAUUGUUUUCUCUCUAAACAUUUCUCUUGUUAUGCUGCAGGUUAUGAACGUCCAGAGGAGAGAAGAAGGUGUUUUAAAGCAUAAGGAGUUACUUCAGAUGAGGGUUUACUCCCACACAAGGCAAAGCUGAGGCUAGACAGGUGGAGACAUGCUUCAGCACACCAAACAGAACAAGCAGCUGAACUUUUCCUUCCCAUGAAGAAAGCUACAAGCACCUGAAGCAAGUAGCUUGUGACCAGCAUGUGACUUCUAAUGAGCAAGCAGGCAAGCAAGUAGGUGCAGGUCAUGUGAACUAAUUACUGAGGAAGCAAGUAGGCUAGAAGGUGCAAGGCAUGUGACUGCUCAGAAAUAAUUUUCAGAGUUUUGUCGAUAUUUUUCAAACUGUUUUGACUAAAUAUUUUUCAUCAUUCGAACCUCGUCCUGCUCUGAAUAAACUCGUCCAGCAUGAAUAAAAAUCGACAAUAAUAAUUAACACUCGACCAGAACCAUCAAGAGAUGGUUUUUUGGCCAAAAGACAGCCCCGUCGAGAUUAAUUUACCGUGUCGAUUUUCAUUUAAAUUCUGAUCGAUCAAUCUUCAAACUGAUCUUAAAGAAUUUUCUCGACCAAAAUUAUAUCUGCUCGUGAGGGUUAUUACAGUGAUCAUGUAGCGUGUCCCUCUGGCGAAGAAGGUCAAAGUGCCAUCUCCCGCUACCCUCGCAGCUGUAGUCCUGUAGGUGACCUCGACAGUGGCCAUGAACUGGCGGACGAGAUCGGGGUAGAGGUCGUAAGCGUGAGAGGGCAUGGUACCGAGUCCUAGCUGUGUGAUCAUGUCCUUAACAUCUCUCUCGAUCCCGAGUUUCUUCAGGAUGGGUCGGUCAAGGAAUUUGGUGGGCUAGAUAGAGAUUCCUAGCCAGGCAUUGUAGAAGAGGCUGUCGUAGUCGUCCCAGUUAUCGGAUAGAGGAUGCUGACGGCACUCGUUGCUGUUGAUUGCUGCCUUAGGAUCAGCAUAGCCCGGAACAUCGAAUGGUGUGUUUUCUGGGCGAGGCCAUGGAUGACGCUGUGCGUUGGAGGAGCUGCUAGUCUCGUCGAACCUCCUUUUCGACCUGAGUUCCCUGUUCGUGUGUUUGUCUCUGAGCUGCUCAUCUGAAACCAAGAAGAAACGAAGGUUAUUAUUGUCGAUAAAAUGUAAUAUCGAUCGAUUGGUUAUACUGAACAUCGAUCGAUAUCGUCGUGUCGGAACAAUCAGACAAGAGAGCAUCGGUCGAUGCGAACAAGUUCAUAUCGACCGAUGUGGAAUCGCGAAACCUGCAAAAUCACUCAACUCCAAAUCGCGUUUAUACGAAUUUAAAUGCAUGGAAAUCACAAACCGAACUCUAUAUAAGCAAUAUGAACUACAAAAACAUCUCUUAAUCACACUAAAUCAAGCGUUCUAAUCCAACUCAAAACGAAACCCUAAUUUUUUCAAAAAUUGAAAAUUUCAAGUGCAUACCUUGAUUGUUGAUUUCGGGAGUGGAUUUAACAGUCACAGAGUGAAAAAUCGAGUGGAUUUAGGUGAAGAACGGACGAAAUCCGUCGAGCACGAGAGAGAAAAUAGGUGUUUUUGUUUUCGGUUUCGUUUGUGAGUGUGGAAGAGGAAGUGGGUUGAUAUCGAGUGAAGUUAGUUGAUAUACCUUGGAUUUGACCCAUUUUUAUCCAUGGUAUAUAAGUAUUUUACUAUAUAUAUAUCUAUGUUUUCUACUCUUCUAGGUAUGUUUUCAGGUUCAGGUGCAUUUUGGAGUAAAGCUAUGACUUUGGAGCAUUUUGGAGCUUUAAGGACAUUUCACCCGAGCUGACCACUUAGAGGUCGACGAGAGGAAGAAUAAUCGAUCGAUGCGCAUCAGUGCUGACGAUCGAUAUCAGGAAAUGCCUCGACAGAUGAAGAUUAAUAUCGAUCGAUGUACACAAGUACCAUCGAUCGAUGUCGAGACACCAGACGCGACAUUUUGGAUUCAGCAGACUUAAAAACCAAGGCCAAGCCAAAUUACCAAAAUGCCCUGACGAGUUUUUAACCUAUUAGAAUAUAUACUGCCUAAGUGUUUUGACGGCAGAGAACAGAGCUUUUUCUAGACCUAGUUUUGUUACAAGUUUCAUUUGGGAGAGAAGAUCGCUUUUGAUUGGAACUCCUUGUUUCUAUUUCUUUUAAUCUUAUUCUAUGAGUUUCUAUUUCUCUAUUGAUAUGAAUUGCUUUGCUAUGUCUGAGUAGUUCAACUGUUAGAUCCAGGGUUCAGAUAGGUUUGUGGGAUUAGCCCCAAACUAGAGAUCUGCCUUGUUGUGAUAUUCAUGAUAUAUUUGUAUUCAUUGCUUGUUUUAGCCUUGCUAACUAGAACUUGAUCAUAGGAUUGCAUAUUCAAGCACCAUUGUUAUCCCAUCCUGACAUCUAUCUAUCAUAUUAGGAUUGCUAGAGAGGGCUAACCGCCAAUUUAGAAUCUUAGUAGGGCAUUUCAUAAUCGCGCAUAGGCCUGGCUAGAACCCGUCGAUCGAUAUCCUCAACUGACAAUCGAUCGACGUUGGCAAAGGUGUAUCGGUCGACGUCUUAAUAGACUAUCGAUCGACACUCUCUCGUGUCUGCAUACUAACCGGUGAGACACGAGAUCUAGUCUGUUAACCAGUGGUACAUGCGACAGCUGAUCACUGAGUUAAGAGAAUGCGUUCUAAUAUAUCAUGCAUGCAACAGUUAGGCAUCUAUAGGUAUUAUAAUCUCCAACACCUGAAUAGUGGCCCUGCAUCUAUUACCAUUUCCAACUAAGUUACAUUUAUUAUUUACUCGCUUGUUACUAUUGCUAUUUCAUUUAAUCAUUUACAACCUUUAGAAUUAAUAAACACUAGAUUUAAUUGUUUCCUAGCUCCUUGUGGAUUCGAUCCCUAAGUACUACAUCUGAACCUCUUUUGAUGAGAGUAACACUCCUUAGGGUAAUUUGAGUGGUAUCAAAUUUGGCGCCGUUGCCGGGGAGCUUUGAUAGCCAUUAGAUUUAGAAUUAUUAAUUCUUAUUCUUUUCUUUACCCCCUUUCUAAUAAUAUUUUUCUUGUCUUUUCAGGUGCAUGCCCAACGGUACCAGAAGCAACAAGGAGAAAGACUUGUUGUUCUCAGACGAUCCUGCUCAUUUCGAACGCACCAUCCGUAGAGGUCAACGUUCCACAUCGCUCGACGCAACCACUUCGUCGUCGAUCGAUACGCACAACCAACCGUCGACCGACACCAGACCGUCAUCGUCGAUCGAUACCAAUCGUUCGACAACGAUCGAUACUACACUGCGUACGUCGAUCGAUACCGUAUCGUCAAAAAUGGUAAACAUUAUUAUUCUAACUCGAGACGAGAACGGAAACCUGUAUGACCAGGCCGAUCAUCUGUGUAAUGCAACAGGUCAGAAAAUAGAUGCUCAGGGAACUGUAAUCCCUGAUGCUGAUGCUAAAGGAGCUGCUCAACCUGUAGAUGAGGACGCUCGAUCUAAACCACUGGCCGACUACAAUCGCCCAGAUGAGUACUAUUCCAACAGAUCGGCUAUUCGACUUCCGGAGAUCCAGAAGCAGAAUCUCGAGCUGAAGCCUCAAUACUACACUCUCGUGUCGCAGAUACCCUACUCUGGGUUACCGCACGAGCAUCCUAUGGACCAUCUGGAACGGUUCGAGGAUCUAAUCGCUGCUAUUCGGUUGGAAGGAGUCCCCGAAGAUUACGUGCUGUGCAAGCUCUUCAGAUACACGCUGAAUGGAGAAGCGAUGCACUGGCUUAGGCAGCAACCCACAUGAUCAUUAACAUCCUGGAGCGACAACAAGAAUGCUUUCUUACGAAACUUCUUCGAUGAGGUGCGUGCUGAAGAACUUCAGAACAAAAUUUCCACAUUCUCGCAGAAGGCUGGAAAGUCUUUCAAAGAUGCGUGGAUUAGAUUUAGGUUCUUCCAGCGAGACUGUCCACACCACGGAUUUAACGAAGUGUAGCUGCUAAGCACUUUCUUCCGAGGUCUCGCCUUACAGUAUCAAAUGGCCCUUGAUACGGCGAGUGAAGGAAACUUUACUACUCGGAAUCCGUUGGAAGCUGUGAGACUUAUCGAAAACCUUGCUAACAGCAGCAGCACCAAAAACACUGACUCUGAACGGAAGAAGUCUGUAGCCUCUAUCGGGAAGGAACAGAUGGACGAAGUAAGAGCUAAGUUAGAUGUGGUGCACGAGCUUCUUAGGAAGCAAGUCUGUUCAGCUGAAGGAGAAGUUGCAGAUACGGAAGGAGAAGAAGAUGUGAACUACAUCGGAGGUACCGGAUUCCAGAAAUUUGGAAACCAGGGCGGAAACAGAAACUUCUUUGGAAAUGGCCAAAGAAGUAACCAAAUUUCACAAUUUCAAAAAACCUUCAAUAACAGCAAGAGCUACUCGAACUCUUACUACCAAAAUCCACCACCCCAGACUCAGUAAAGCAAGAUCGAAGAGAUGCUUGAUCGAGUACUGUUGAGACAACAACAAAUCACUGUGGAUUUCAAGGGUAAGAUAGACUCCGCCUACAACAAUCUGAACACCAAAAUCGAGACCUUAGGGACUCAGGUGAGAAAACUUGAAACCCAAGUAAUUCAGACGGGCGAGACUACAAAGAGGCAAGAAGCUUUCGCUAGAGAGGCAGGAGCCGACAAAGGAAAACACCACGCAAAUGCCAUCAUAGAUGAUGAUUUCUGGCAAAUGGUGAGAAAUGAAAAGCUUGAGGAAGGAGAUUUCGAAAUCGAAAGCUCCAUGAGUCUCAGCGGAUCCCAAUGGUGUCGACCGAUAUCGAUGAACUCGCAUCGAUCGACAGACCAUGAUGAAGAUUGAUGGAUGGAUUACUCCAGUCAUCGAUCGAUGUCGUCUGCCGAAUCGACUGAAUGCAAUGCGGUUCGAAUUCUAACUCAUGAAGAAUUUGCAGCUACGCAUCCUCACCCACUCUCCCCUUUCUAUGACAAAAUCGAUCGAUCGAUUGAGCCAGCCAUCGAUCGACAGAGUGAGUCUGACGUCGAUCGUCACAAUACACCUCCCAUCGAUCCACAUGCACCUCUGACAUACCGAGUGCGGUUACCCUCAAUCGAUAAUGAUUACAUCAACGCACUCAGACCACCACCUAAACCAUUAGCAAACCCACCCGAACCAAAACCCAACCCUUUAAAUAGUUCACCAGAAUCAGUUCAAGAAGAACAAGAAUCUGAAGGGAGAAGGUUAAGGAAAAGAAAGGAGAAGAUUCCUAAAAACCUUAAGAGGGAAGCUAACGAUAAGGAGAUGGAUGGUUUCACUAAACGAGUCCUCAGAUCCCAAUCGAAAAACCUUUUGAUGAAGCUUACUUCACACACCGGUUGUGGAUGUUCUUCAGAGAAACAAAGGUAACUGAGGAGGACAUUAGGAGAAUGUUUCAUCAAGUCAGAGAGAAGAUGAAACACAGGAUCACAUUGACGAAGAAGAGUGAUCCUGGGAAGUUUGCAAUACCAUGCGUAGUCAAGGGUGUUGAAUUUCCCCAUUCAAUGUGUGACACAGGAGCAUCAGUUAGUAUCCUCCCUAGGAUCAUGGCAGACCAGCUUGGUUUGACCAUCGAACCCUCAACGGAAUCCUUCACCUUCGUGGAUCUUUCAGAGAAACGAUCAGGAGGUAUCAUAAGAGAUCUGGAGGUACAGAUUGGUAAUGCCCUUGUCCCUGUAGAUUUUCAUGUCUUAGACAUCGAGCUUAACUGGAACUCUUCACUUCUGCUUGGAAGAUCUUUCCUAGCUACAGUAGAAGCUGUAUGUGACAUGAACAAAAACAAAUUGUGUCUAACGCUCAUAGACCCAAACAUCCACUACGACCCCAUCCGACCUAAGAGAAAGUUCAUUAAUUCUGUGGAUUAUGGGAAAGAACUUGGCUUCAUUGGUGCAUGCCAUUGUGGAGAAGAGUAUCAAUCGGAGUACGAAACAGAGUACUCGGAAUCGAUUGAUAUCCCAACCUUUCCAUCGAUCGAUUCCAAUGUGUCAACGGUGACCGAUGACCGCAACAACACGUCACUCGAUGUAAUGCAACCAGUUGACCAUUUCGCUUCACCCAAUCAUUGUUACCAACAUUUUGCCUUCCAACCUCCAAGCAAGAGAGGACAUGAUGAUUAUUCCAUAGGCAGUUUGGCAGACAGUGGUUUCCAUGAAAGUUUUGCAGUUGACACUGUAAUUACUUCACCUAAUGAGGAACAUACCGAGGAAUACGAUGAGGAUUAUUGGAAAGAACGUGCAAUAGAAAUGUCUUUGCAGGAUGAAAAACUUGAAACACAUAAGUUCACCAACACGUUUUUAACAUCGUUCGACGCUGUGCACUCCACAUCGGUCGAUAUCCACCCUCGUCCAGCAAAACAACCGCUCACAUCGAUCGACACCCACACUGGAACAUCGAUCGAUAUUCGCGCCGCAGCGAAAAUUCAGGAGCAGGAGAAUAUUCCCUCCCCAACUAGUUUUAUAGAUACCUAUAUAAAUCGUUUUGCACCUCCGAAACCACCUACACACAUCAGAGCAAACACACAAGCAAAAAAGAUGAACACUCUUCCUUCUACAUCAACAGAAAAAUCCAUGAAGAGCAAUCAUCUCAAGAACACAAGUUCUGCAGAAAUUACUCUGCCAUCGAUCGAUGUAACUGUAUCUACAUCGAUCGAUACUACUCUAAACCCUAAUCUUUCUAUUUCUAAAUUGAAUGAUUAUGCAAACAUUGAUUACGGUUUUCUAACACCUGAUGAAUUUGGUAUUUUCAGGGACCCAGAUGGCAACGCACGUGCAAUGGAUGGAAGGAUUUUACAAGUGUCCAGAGAGGACAUAGCAGACAUCCUUCAAGUAGCCAAUGGACCUGACAACCUAUUCUCACAGCAACGUGGCACUCCAGACGUCAUUCAAACAGAUCCUAACAACCACGCAGGAGUCGCCACAACAGAGAUCAACCCAGAUCUAUCACGCCUACCAAAAGGGCAAGCAUCGAUCGACGGUACAACGGAGAAAUCGAUCGACAGGGUAACACCAACGUCGAUCGAUAUAUAGAUGAACCGACGUCGAUCGAUAUAGAUGAACCGACGUCGAUCGACAGACGGUAUGAAUGUGGGAACCGCGCUUUCGACAUGUACGGAGCCAGAAAGUUCACUUGGGAACAAAGGGACGAGUAUGGAGUCUACAGAGAUGAGCGUGGACACGCACGAAGCGUAGCUGGUGAGAUGAUACCUGUCACAGAGGACAACAUCAGGAAAAUACUGGAAAGAGCAUCUCUUUUUGAAGAAAGCCACAUCUGUCUUCCAGAACAUGCCACUUCCUUCACACUCACAAGACUGGCACCAGAACUCUACACCAAAGAUGAAAUCGAUGAGAUGGUGUUUGGUAUUUGUGGAGCUCAGGAGAAACUGGGAGAGGAGCUCAAAACAUUGGUAGAAGAUACACAUCAGCCUUUGGAUAGAGGCUACAACGAGCUUUUCAGAUGUAUGGCAGAAAUGAGGACAGAAAUUGAGAGUUUACGUCAGCAACUUGAGAAGGAAGCUACGACCUCAGCAUCGAUCGACGCACCACAUGCAACAUCGAUCGACGUCAGUCUUCCUACAGCUCAGAUCCCUGCAGAACCGCAAUGUUCAACACAACACAGGGAUGAAUGCGAAGUAUCAUACAUCGACACGAGGAUAAACGACGUUUACUGCCCUCUCAACAACAACGUGGACGGGCUAAGCACUAAAAUCGAGCUACUACAGCAAGAUCUGGACACCAUUCGCAAGAAGGACAAACAACCAGCCACAUCGAUCGACAUGUGUACCUUCACAUCGCUCGACGCCAAAGUCUCAGCCAUGAAUGAGAGGCUGAGGACUUACGAGGAUAUGCAUGACCGCUUUAUAUCACCAGUCAUGAUAGAUUUAAACAAAUUGUCUAGUCAAUUACUUCAUGCCCAAAAGGAUAUUGAGAACAUUACUAAUCAAAGUUUUUUGCAGGCAAAAUCAGCAUCGAUCGACAGGCUACGAGGGCCUUGGAUCGAUGGCAAGAAACAUGUGGAGUUACUUCCUUACACAGCAACAGAGGUUGACAAGAUCACAUCCAAGAUCUACACUUCUCUAGAUACUAUGGAGGAACGACUUGACAAACGCUGCGAUGACAUCUACUUUCCAUUCGACAACAAAAUCAGUGGAUUAGACAACCACGCAGAAUGGUUACAGAAAGAAGUCAAAGCCAUUCAGAGGCAACUCGCAGCUCAACACCAGAUAUCAGCAUCGAUCGACAGGACAUUAGCGAAAUCGAUCGAUGGCAACUCGCCGAGAUCGACCAACGAACACAUAAUCGCAUCGAUUGACGCCGAGUCUACACUAAUCGUCGAACAGCUGAUAAACAAGACGGUAGAGUCCAUGCUAAAGGAACUGACAGAUCUUUCAGCAUACGCCUAUGACAACAUAGGCUGGCACCAGGUCAGCAUUGACAACGUUCAAGAAAGGCUACAGAACAUCUCCAAAGUACUUGAGAAGAUGGAUGACAAAUGGACAAGAAAUGAUGAGGCCACAAGAAUUUUCAUUGCAACUUGGUCCAGAAUGCGCAGAGAUGACGUGGAUGCUUGCUUUCCAACAAGCAGCUGCUUCUCCACCCAAUAGACAAUCACUACCACAGUCAAGCUAAAUGACUAUAACCAAGCGCUGAGUGGGAGGCAACCCACUAUUAGGUAUUUUACUUUGGUUUUAUUUAGCUAGCAUUUAAUUUCUUUCGUUUUAUUUCUUUCAGAUUUAGGAGACCCAAGUAGGAGGACCUGAAUAUCGACCGACGACGAGACGUCGACAUCGUUCGAUAUAGGCAACCACAAGACGAUCGAUGUAACACUUACACAUCGAUCGAUAUCUAAUCCGGUCAGAAGUAUCUUCCCUACUUGUUACAUUUCGUACAUCAUGAACUAUUCAUCAUAACUCCGGCUGAGUUACACUGGGACAGUGUAAUUUAAGUCUGGGGGAGAUUUACUGAUAUAAUUUAUUUUAUUCUUAUGUAAAAAGGAAUUUCAAAUAAAUUAUGCUUAGCUAUUGAAAAUAGGGACUAUAAUCUUAUAUUGAUUUAAACAUGAAUAUCUAACCAAUCUUUAGCACCAUUUUAGAUUUACUGAUUGCAGAUAGCACUAAAGAUGCUAAAGCGGAUCAACCUAUCAACUACACACUUGCCUUGAACCGUAUGAAGUAACCAAAGCUGAUUUCCAACACUAAACCUGACAUAACCGCUUGUCUUGGGGCUUGGUAUACAUGGGAUCGGAUUCUUCAGACAGGUCUGGAAGGUAACGCCUGGUUUAGAUUAUUUAUCACAUUUUCUCUCUCUAAAUUUUGACCCUAGAUUAGUUAGUGAGUAUCUAUAAAAAAAAAAAGAUCUAUUGUUUAAUUAGGAUGAGUCUGAACAGAACUUGGUGGCUAAAACCAUUAAGGCUUGAUUCAUAAAGACUCAAAUAAAAGAGUUCGAAACGGGACUUGGAGGCGACAAUCUUCAAGGCUCGCUUUCGCAAAGAACUCUUGGAUAUAGGUCAAAAAGAAGUGAACAGAACUUGGUGGCAACCACCAUUAAGUUUUGAUUCAUGAAAGCCUGUCCAAUCUUGGUCACUGAUCCUGCAAUGGAACCAGACUUUGACUCAAGAGAGAAAUUUAGAGAGAGAGAAACUAGGAACUAACUUUUACCUGCAGCUCCAGAUACCUGUCUGAAAUCCUUGCAUCCUGUGAUCGAUACUCCCAAGGUAAAGCAUUCACUUUAUAUUUAUGCUAAGAAAUGAAAUCAGUAGAGGGGAUGUCAGACGUGAAAUGAUGAGUUGUGUUAUGUUAGAAAUGGUUGCUAAGCUAGGAUAUUGCAUAGUGUGCUUUUGUGAUUAGGACUUUUUAAAUGUGGUUGCAAAAUUGUUGAGGAAAGAUUUCUAUGUUUUAAAAUCUUAAAGUUCCCAAAUAUUUUCAAACCUCUUUCAGAGAGACUGCAUGUAUGUUUUCCUUGAGGACAAGCAAAAGGGUAAGUCUGGGGGAGUUGAUAUACCUUGGAUUUGACCCAUUUUUAUCCAUGGUAUAUAAGUAUUUUACUAUAUAUAUAUCUAUGUUUUCUACUCUUCUAGGUAUGUUUUCAGGUUCAGGUGCAUUUCGGAGUAAAGCUAUGACUUUGGAGCAUUUUGGAGCUUAAAGGACAUUUCACCCUAGCUGACCACUUAGAGGUCGACGAGAGGAAGAAUAAUCGAUCGAUGCGCAUCAGUGCUGACGAUCGAUAUCAGGAAAUGCCUCGACAGAUGAAGAUUAAUAUCGAUCGAUGUACACAAGUACCAUCGAUCGAUGUCGAGACACCAGACGCGACAUUUUGGAUUCAGCAGACUUAAAAACCAAGGCCAAGCCAAUUACCAAAAUGCCCUGACGAGUUUUUACCUAGUAGAAUAUAUACUGCCUAAGUGUUUUGACGGCAGAGAACAGAGCUUUUUUUAGACCUAGUUUUGUUACAAGUUUCAUUUGGGAGAGAAGAUCACUUGUGAUUGCAACUCUUUGUUUCUAUUUAUUUUCAUCUAUUCUAUAAGUUUCUAUUUCUCUAUUGAUAUGAAUUGCUUUGCUAUGUCUGAGUAGUUCAACUGUUAGAUCCAGGGUUCAGAUAGGUUUGUGGGAUUAGCCCCAGACUAUAGAUCUGCCUUGUUGUGAUAUUCAUGAUAGAUUUGUAUUCAUUGCUUGUUUUAGCCUUGCUAACUAGAACUUGAUCAUAGGAUUGCAUAUUCAAGCACCCUUGUUAUCCCAUCCUGACAUCUAUCUAUCAUAUUAGGAUUGCUAGAGAGGGCUAACCGCCAAUUUAGAAUCUUAGUAGGGCAUUUCAUAAUCGCGCAUAGGCCUGGCUAGAACCCGUCGAUUGAUGUCCUCAACUGACAAUCGAUCGACGUUGGCAAAGGUGUAUCGGUCGACGUCUAAAUAGACUAUCGAUCGACACUCUCUCGUGUCUGCAUACUAACCGGUGAGACACGAGAUCUAGUCUGUUAACCAGUGGUACAUGCGACAGCUGAUCACUAAGUUAAGCGAUUGAGUUCUAAUAUAUCAUGCAUGCAACAGUUAGGCAUCUAUAGGUAUUAUAAUCUCCAGCACCUGAAUAGUGGCCCUGCAUCUAAUACCAUUUCCAACUAAGUUACAUUUAUUAUUUACUCGCUUGUUACUAUUGCUAUUUCAUUUAAACAUUUACAACCUUUAGAAUUAAUAAACACUAGAUUUAAUUGUUCCCUAGCUCCUUGUGGAUUCGAUCCCUAAGUACUACAUCUGAACCUCUUUUGAUGAGAGUAGCACUCCUUAGGGUAAUUUGAGUGGUAUCAUUAGUGUUAAAACCGUCGAGAUGCCCGCAUCGAUCGAUGGCAGUAAUGCCUCGUUGAUCGAUGUCCUCUUUAAAGACAAAUUAUAAUUUCUAAAUUUUCUAAAUAAUGGUAAUAUACGGAAAUUACUAUUAAUUACUAGUAAUAUAAUUUAUUAAUUUUAAUUAAUGAUUUUUGAAAUUAAAUUAUUAUUAUUUUAUUAUUAUUAUUAUUAUUAUUUAUUUUUUUUUUUAUAAAAAUGGGUUGCCUCCCAUUCAGCACUUAAUUUUUAAGUCUUUAGCUCGACUUCCUGAUUAAACUAAUUAUCAGGUUCAUACAGCACCAUGGGCACUUUCGCUGGUAGUUUUGUCCAAUAAUGCUUAACUCGUUGGCCAUUCACCGUAAAUUCCUGGCCUUUCUCAUUUUGUAAGGUGAUAGCUCCGGAGGGUUGAACGUUCUUUACGGUGAAGGGUCCAGACCAACAUGAUUUUAGCUUUCCAGGAAAUAAAGUCAAUCGAGAGUUAUAAAGGAGGACUUGAUCAUCUGGCUCGAAGUGCCGGGAUAUGAUCUUUCUAUCGUGAUAAGCUUUAGUCCUUUCUUUAUAGAUUUUUGAAUUUUCGAAAGCUAAAUGUCUGAUUUCAUCAAGCUCGUUAAGCUGGAUGAGUCUCCUUUCUGCAGCUGGUUUGAUAUCAAAGUUCAAAAGUUUGGUAGUCCAACCUGCUUUAUGUUCCAGUUCGACUGGUAGAUGACAUGAUUUGCCAUAAAGGAGGUGGAAUGGUGUUGUUCCUAACGGUGUUUUGUAGGCGGUCCUUGAUAUACCAUGAUUUUCACCCGCUUUUAUACAUGGUAUAUAAGGGUUUUAAGAUGUAUUAAUCAUGUUUUAGAGUCUUUUCAAAGCAAAUACAGGUUUAUUCACCUGAUGGAAGGAAAUGAUACUUUUGGGACAUUUUGGAAUGCUUUUACGCAAGGAAAAUCGAUCGACGCUUGAAGAGCAACAUCGGUCGAUCUUAAUCACUUACUAUUGAUCGACAUACAUUCUCGUGCAUCGAUCGAUACGCAGUCACACAGAUGAAAUCGCAAACUAAAAGAUUUCAUUUCCAAGAAGAUCUAUUAUUUACAACUUAAGUCCCUGGCCGCCUUUUAGGCUAUAUGUACUAGGGUUUUGUAUCAUUUCUAGGCAGACACUUGCAAAAGACCUAGUUUGGAAAAGGAGCAUUUUGGCUACCAUUAGGAGAGCUUAGGAUUGGAGAGAUAGAUCUGAGACUGCAAAACAGAGAAGAUCUUGAACUCAUUUAUUUCUAUUACUCUAUCUAUUUGUGUUCUAUGUUUCAUUUGAGUUUAUUUCACACCAUUAUGACUUUGUCUCUCAUGAAUAUGUCUGAGUAAACCAAUUGUUUGAUUUAGGUUUCUCACCAUGGUUGAAAUUAUGUCUGUUAAAAAGGUGUUUUGAUUGUUUUUUCAUUGCUUAUGAACUUAAUGCUAAAAUUGAGAUUGAUCACCUUCAUUUUGGAUCUUAGGUUUAAUUGAGUUCAACUAACCGUUUCCCCUCAAUACCUGAACCCAUUUGCGUGAUCUAACUGACUCAGGCGCAACGACAGUUGGUCUGAGAAGGUUAGAGAACAAGUUAAACCCGUUCGCAAAGCUCGCUAGAAUAACCGUCGAUCGACGCAACUAUCGUUCUGUCGAUCGACGCAACUAUCGUUCUGUCGAUCGAUUGUUAUAAAGUUGUAUCGGUCGAUGUACGUCAAGUCGCAUCGAUCGACACUCUCUCGAGAUCAAAAUACGACAGUUGAGAUCCGAGAUCUAGUGAAGAUAACCUAUCCGGUUAAAUCAACGUUUAGUUCAAGAACCAUUGAACCCUUUAGUCUAAACUAAAUGCAUACAUUUUAUACCUGAGAAUUACCUGAAUCUAGCUACUUUCCCAAUCUUGAAACCACUUCAAUUUAAUCUAUUGAAUCACUGUUGUUUUCGAUUUAUCAUUUAUUGCUUUUAAAACUAUUAAAACCUUUUAGUCUAUAUUCAUUUCUAAGUAUUUAAGUCUGUUGAGUAAUCCUAGAGUCUCUGUGGAUUCGAUCCCUAAGUACUACAUCUGAACCUCUUUUGAUGAGAGUAACACUCUUUAGGGUAAUUUGAGUGAUAUCAAAUUUGGCGCCGUUGCCGGGGACUCUUUCUUAUUACCAUUAGAUUUAAUUUAGAAUUUUGUAUAGACUUGUUACGAAAAUCUUGCUAAAGUUUUCUUUCUUAAUCUGUUAAUCAGACACAAAGAAUGGAGAACAUAGAGCGCGACCAACCAUCGAUCGACGGAAAUACGUUUCCAUCGAGCGACGAUGAGUCAGAGGAAUCGACCGAUACGGAGUCACCAACAUCGAUCGAUACCGCCCAGCCGGAAGCAGGUAAGUAUUCUCUUACCAAGCCCGCUAAUGAGAAAGUAGUCCAAACUGAACUAAAUGGCCAAACGAGCAAUGAAACUAGCCAAACUAAACAGGGGACUGAAAUCCCUGUUAAGGAAAAUUCCACCUUAACUAAAGGUGAAGAUAUAAAAUUGUCCAUACAAGACUACCUUGAUCCUGGUAGGACCUAUUCCAAUAGGUCCGCUAUUAAAAUACCAGGAGACGAUACCAAGAAAUCUAAGUUUAACGCAGAUUACUACCGUAUGGUUCGUCAAAACCCAUUCCGUGGAUCCCUCCCAGAACACCCACAAGAUCAUAUUGAGACUUUGGAAGAAUUAAUACUAGAUGAAUAUGAUCGUUGCAAACUAUUCUCAUUCUCCCUAGAAGGAGAAGUCCUCAGGUGGUUGAACUGUUUAGCAACAGGAUCACUCACUUGUUGGGAAGAGAUUAGAAGAGCUUUCCUUAGAGAUUUUUUCACUGACGAACGCUACUGGGAAGUAAGAAAACAAAUUUCUACAUUUCGCCAAGGUCCACGCGAAUCAUUUAAAAAUGCUUGGGGAAGAUUCAGAGGCUAUGAACUUGAAUGUCCCCAUCAUGGUUAUUCAGAACCACAACUUCUUAACAUCUUUUAUGGAGGUGUUAAUUUGAGCUAUAAAACCACACUCGAUACAGCGAGUGAUGGAAAUUUCUUCACUAGGAAUCCCGAAGGAGCUAGACGCCUUAUCAAGAAUAUGACAACGGGAAGAUCCUAUGAGAAAAUGGAUGAAGAAAUAGAAAAACUACAAAUCCAAAAGACAAUUCUGAUUUAUUAGAAAUUAAGAAUUCCCUUAAAUCCCUUCAUUCCUUUCUUCAAAACAAACACCGAUCUGAUAUAGUCCAGAUCGACGAAAACGCUUUGUCUGACACCGAUGAUUAUUCGGAUGAAGAAACGAACUGCUCUGAUCCUUACUAUGUGUUUCAUGUCGAGAGCUUUACCCAAGCUUAUGACACUGCUCUAAAAUCACGUACCAGAAGAUAAAGGUUCAAUAUCAGACAAGCUCUUACUGGCAACCAUAAGACAAAAUCGGAGUUUUACGGAAAGAUAAAUAUGGUUUACAGAGAAUUGAUGGAAAAAGCAGAUUCUUUAGGAGAACUAAUCCGAAAAUUAGAAGGUCAAGUAGCUGAGAUAGCAACUGCAAUAAAGAGAGAUGCUGGAUGUCUUCCCGGAAGGACUGAUCUAAACCUAAGACGUCAAGUCAGUGCCGUAAUGCUGCGCAGCGAGAAAAACCUCGCAGCAGACACGAGGAAUAAUUCAGAUGUUGGAAAACCUGACGAUGCCGAUGAAACCGGGAAAAGCAACUCUCAUCCUGUUUUUCUUGACGAACUAGACCCAAAUCCAUCUCAAGACAACCGGAAAACCACCACUGAAAAAGCUAAGGAAAAGGCAAUAGACUUAGAACUAGAAGAAGAUACGGAGAUUGAGGAUGAGAUCGAUCGACAGUACGGAACUGACGUCGAUCGACCCAAAACACCCACCAUCGAUCAACAACCGGAGAAACCCAUCGAUCGACGGUUUACUCAACCCAAACCCAUAAUUGAAAGAGUCUAUAGAACUUUACCCCUUUUUCCCCCUAAAACGCAAACUAAGAAAUCAUUAGAGAACGCAAUCUGCAAGAAAGCCUUAGAUAGGAUUUCUGUCGAGAUGUCUCUUAGUGAUGCUAUAAAAAUAGCACCUUCAAUUAAGAAGCAUAUAAAAGAUAUGACAUCUCCAAACUAUCCAAUCGCAGAACACAGCGUGAUGAUGAUUUCAGAAGAAGUAAGUGCUAUGAUUAAAGGAGAAACUCCAACAAAGAGAUCCGAUCAUGGUAGUUUCGUCCUAGAUUGUAAAAUAGAAAACACGCAUUUCCCUAGAUCACUAUGUGACCUCAGCUCUAGCGUGAACCUUAUGCCUUACUCUGUUGCUGUGACGUUAGGAUACAGAGAGUUUAUGCCAACUCCGAUCACCCUGGUUUUAGCUGAUAGAUCUAUUAGGGUACCCGAAGGAAUUCUCGAAGAUGUUCCCAUAAAGAUUAACGAUUGCAUCGUGCCUACGGAUUUUGCUGUGUUGAAAUACAGACAAGAACCCAAAGACCCCCUCAUUCUGGGUCGGCCAUUCCUAGCUACAGAUGGAGCGAUCAUUGACGUCAAGGAAGGAUGAAUUAAUUUGAACAUAGGAGAUAUCUCGAUGACUUUUGAUAUGGAAAAACUGAUUAAGCGACUUCUAAUAGAUGACUAGUCCUUCUACGUGGAAAAGGUUUCUGAGGAUGAAAGAGACUCUUUCAUAAACAUGUGUUCAGACAACCCCUUAGAAGACACCCUUAACCACGUGGAAAAUGAAGUGUUCAACAUAUCAGAUAGGACGGACGAUUACAUGCAACUAAUGGACGCUAGCAUCGACGUUGCAAACAUAGAAGAAAAUGACGAUUCCGAAGUUGUCAUCGAUCGAUACCUUCAAGAUACCGUCGAUCGACAACCUCCUUCACAUGAUGCAGCUCGUUUGGUCCAGUUUAUUGACAAGACAAUCAGGCUUAAGCUCCUGUCUGUUAAAGGAACAGGGCACAAACAUUUUGAAGAGAGUUUGAUGGUCUCUAGAUGAGACUGGUAGUUUGAAUCAAGUCCCAUUGAUUAUUUGUACAAAAAAUAAAGAAGUAGCACUUGAUGUAGUACAGUUUGAUUGAAUAAAAUUUUACAUUCAUUCAAAAAAAAAAAAGAUAAAGCACCAAAGGUAGAAUUAAAACCCCUGCCCAGCGGUCUUAAGUACGCUUACCUUUAUGACCAAUCCUACCCUGUUAUCGUCAACGCCAAUCUCACUAGCGGAGAACUUGCUUUAUUGCUGAAUAAAUUACGCAAGUACAGGAAAGCAAUCGGGUAUUCUCUCGAUGACAUUCCUGAAUUUCUCCUGAUCUUUGCAUGCAUCGGAUCAACUUGGAAGAUGACGCUAAAACGUCAAUAGAACAGCAAAGGAGAUUGAAUCCGAAUCUGAAAGAAGUAGUUAAGAAGGAAAUUAUAAAACUCCUUGAUGCUGGAGUUAUUUACCCCAUUUCGGAUAGCAAAUGGGUAAGCCCCGUACAUGUUGUACCCAAAAAGGGAGGUAUCACUGUAGUGAAGAAUGAAAAAGACGAACUCAUUCCGACUCGUCCAUUACUGGUCAUCGGAUGUGCAUUGAUUAUAGGAAACUGAAUGCCGCUACUAGGAAAGACCAUUUUCCCCUUCCCUUUAUUGAUCAGAUGCUGGAGAGAUUAGCUAAUCACCAGUAUUACUGUUUUCUUGAUGGAUAUUCCGGAUUUUUCCAAAUUCCUAUACACCCGGAUGAUCAAGAAAAUACAACGUUGACAUGCCCCUAUGGAACUUUUGCAUAUCGCAGAAUGCCAUUUGGUCUAUGUAACGCCCCCGCUACUUUCCAACGAUGUAUGAUGUCAAUCUUUACAGAUAUGAUCGAGGACUUCAUGGAAGUAUUCAUGGAUGUUUUUUCAGUCUAUGGAUCAGAUUUUAAGAGUUGCCUCGACAAUUUAUGCAAGGUAUUGGAAAGAUGCGAAGAAAAGAACCUUGUCCUAAACUGGGAAAAAUGCCAUUUCAUGGUAAACGAUGGAAUAGUAUUAGGACAUAGAGUUUCCGCUGCUGGAAUAGAGGUCGAUAGAGCUAAGAUUGAAGUAAUGACCAGUUUACCUCCACCUAAAACUGUUAAGGACGUACGAAGUUUUCUCGGACACGCCGGAUUUUACAGAAGAUUUAUACUGGACUUCAGCAAAAUCGCUAGACCUCUAAAUCACUUACUGCGCAAGGAUAUUAAAUUCGAUUUUACCCUUGAAUGCAUGAGAGCUUUUGAAGAUUUAAAGAAAUCCCUUAUCACUGCCCCUGUCCUACAAGCCCCCUACUGGAAUCUUCCUUUCGAAAUCAUGUGCGAUGCGAGUGAUUUCGCAAUUGGAGCAGUUCUAGGCCAAAGGAAAGAUAAAAAGCUACAUGCUAUUUACUACGCCAGCCGCACGCUUGAUGAAGCACAACGGAAUUAUGCAACAACAGAAAAAGAACUAUUAGCUGUAGUUUACGCUUUUGAAAAAUUCCGUCAAUACUUGAUUGGCUCACGUGUAAUAGUUCACACUGAUCACGCUGCCAUCAAAUAUUUAAUGCAAAGGAAAGAUGCUAAACCUCGACUCAUACGCUGGAUUCUACUAUUCCAAGAGUUUGACAUUGAGAUUAAGGAUAAGAGAGGAGUAGAUAAUGGAGUCGCUGACAAUCUUUCACGGAUACAGAUAGAGGAUGAUAUCCCUAUAGACGAUUUCUUUCCCACAGAGAAUGUUGCACACAUAGAUACAUCCUUCGUCGGUCAAGUAUCUCUCACAUCUGAAGAUGAAUCGAUCGAUGAGGGAGAUGUCAUAUCGGUCGAUUCACGUAGUUCUACAUCGAUCGAUGACGAGACUGAUGUAAUUUCUCACCUCUCAGAUAACCAAAAUCACGAACCCCCGUUUAUUAAGAUCAACUUUGGUUUACAAGUAAAUGUUUCCGGUGAUGAGAUUAAUCUCACACCUAAGGAAUUAUCACAACGGGAGGUAAAUGUGAUUGGUAGAAACUCGGAUAACCGACCCUGGCAUGCCGACAUAGUUAACUAUUUGGCAGCUGAGGUUGAACCAGACGAACUCAAGGGAUAUAUGAGGAAGAAAUUUUUCAGAGAAGUAAGACGCUAUCAUUGGGAUGAACCUUACCUCUAUAAGCAUUGUUCUGAUGGCAUAUACAGACGAUGCGUAUCCGAAGCUGAAAUUCCAGACAUUAUUUACCAAUGUCACGGAGCUGAGUAUGCAGGACAUUUCGCUACCUUUAAGACGGUUUCGAAAAUUCUCCAAGCAGGAUUUUGGUGGCCAACUAUUUUUCGCGAUGUCCGUGCAUUUAUAACCCAAUGUGACAGAUUCCAAAGACGUGGAAAAAUCAGCAAAAGACACGAAAUGAAACAAAAGUUCAUUCUUGAAGUUGAAGUCUUUGAUUGCUGGGGUAUCGAUUUUAUGGGACCUUUCCCGUCUUCAUAUGGAAACAAAUAUAUACUAGUCGCUGUAGACUACGUAUCUAAAUGGGUCGAAGCAAUAGCUUCCCCUACCAAUGACGCAUCUGUGGUUAUUAAACUCUUCAAGAGUAUAAUCAUUCCAAGAUUUGGAGUUCCAAGAGUAGUCAUUAGUGACGGUGGAACUCAUUUCAUUAACAAAAUCUUUGAUAGAUUACUUAAAAAGAAUGGUGUUCAUCAUAGAGUAGCUACACCUUACCAUCCACAAACUAGUGGACAAGUAGAAGUCUCUAACCGGCAAAUUAAGGAAAUCUUAGAGAAAAGCGUAGGAAUCUCCAGAAAAGAUUGGUCUAGGAAACUAUAUAAUGCACUUUGGGCCUACAGGACCGCCUACAAAACGCCGUUAGGAACAACACCAUUCCACCUCCUUUAUGGCAAAUCAUGUCAUCUACCAGUCGAACUGGAACAUAAAGCAGCUUGGGCUACCAAACUUUUGAACUUUGAUAUCAAACCGGCUGCAGAAAGGAGACUUAUCCAGCUUACCGAGCUUGAUGAAAUCAGACAUUUAGCUUUCGAAAAUUCAAAAAUCUAUAAAGAAAGGACUAAAGCCUAUCACGAUAAAAAGAUCAUAUCCCGGCACUUCGAGCCAGAUGAUCAAGUCCUCCUUUAUAACUCUCGAUUGACUUUAUUUCCUGGAAAGCUAAAAUCCCGUUGGUCUGGACAACUUCACCGUAACGAACGUUCAACCCUCCGGAGCUAUCACUUUACAAAAUGAGAAAGGCCAGGAAUUUACGGUGAAUGGCCAACGAGUUAAGCAUUAUUGGGCAAAACCACCAGCGAAAGUGCCCAUGGUGCUGUAUGAACCUGAUAAUUAGUUUAAUCAGGAAGUCGAGCUAAAGACUUAAAAAUUAAGCGCUGAAUGGGAGGCAACCCAUUUAUUUUUAUAAAAAAAAUUUUCAUUAAUUAAAAUUAAUAAAUUAUAUUUACUAGAAAUUAAUGGUAAUUUUCGUAUUUCUUAAUAUUAGCAUUAUUUAGAAAAUUUAGUAAUUAGAAUCUGUCAAUAAAAAGGACAUCAAUCGACGCGGCAUUACUGCCAUCGAUCGAUGCGGGCAUAUCGACGGUUUUAACAUUAACUUCAAUCGAUAUCAACCCACUUCCUCUUCCAAAAUCACAAACACAACCAAAAACGAAAACACCCAUUUUCUCUCUCGAUUCUCGACGGAUUUCGUCCGUUCUUCGCCUAAAUCCACUCGAUUUUUCACUCUGUAACUGUUAAAUCCACUCCCGAAAUCAACAUUCAAGGUAUGCAAUCGAAAUUUUCAAUUUUUCGAAAAAUUUGGGUUUUCGUUUUGGGUUGGAUUAGAACGCUUAAUUUAGGGCGAUUGAGAGAUGUUUUUGUAGUUCAUAUUGCUUAUCUAGAGUUCAGUUUGUGAUUUAUAUGCAUUUAGAUUAGUAUAAACGCGAUUUGGAGUUGAGUGAUUUUGCAGGUUUCGCGAUUCGACAUCGGUCGAUAUGAACUUGUUCGCAUCGACCGAUGCUCUCUUGUCGGAUUGUUCCGACACGACGAUAUCGAUCGAUGUUCAAUAGAACCCAUCGAUCGAUAUUACAUUAUAUGCGACAAUGCUAACCUUCUUUUCUUCUUGGUUUCAGAUGAGCAGCUCAGAGACAAACGCGAGAAUUAGAGAACUCAGGUCUAAAAGGAGGUUCGACGAGACUAGCAGCUCCUCCAACCCACAGCGUCAUCCAUGGCCUCGCCCCGAAAACACACCAUUCGAUGUUCCGGGCUAUGCUGAUCCUAAGGCAGCGAUCAACAGCAACGAGUGCCGUCAGCGUCCUCUGUACGAUGACUGGGACGACUACGACAGCCUCUUCUACAAUGCCUGGCUAGGAAUCUCUAUCGAGCCCACCAAGUUCCUUGACCGACCCAUCCUGAAGAAACUCGGGAUCGAGGGGGAUGUCAAGGACAUGAUCCCGCAGCUUGGACUCGGUACCAUGCCCUCUCGCGCUUACGACCUCUACCCUGAUCUCGUCCGCCAGUUCAUGGCCACUGUCGAGGUCAUCUACAGGACUUCAGCUCCGAAGGUAGCGGGAGAUGGCACUUUGAGCUUCUUCGCCAGAGGGACACGCUACAGGAUCACUAUCUCCGAGCUCUGCCGCAUCUACGGUUUCGAUGAGAGCAUCGCCUCUUACGCGGUCCCACCCUUCUCACACAUUGAGGGAUUCUGGGAGAUCGUUUGGCACAAGAGUUUGGGACACGAACAGGGCCGUGCUAUCAGACAUCCACCAUCCUGCAGUUCGCUACUUCCUACGGCUCCUUGCAAACACACUUGUUUGCAAGAUGGAGCCCAAAAAGGUCCAGAUAAAGGAGCUCACACUACUUUUCUGUGCAGUGAACAGCGUGGUGGACUUGGUUGAGUUGGACGAGGAUGGCGAGGUAAGCCCGCCGAACCUCGGAGCUGUCUUUUCCGCGCAUUUGGUGGAGCUGAAGAAGAAGCCCUUCACCAGCAAGGGCAAGAACAAGAAGGAGACAGUUGGGAGUCUUCUGACCCCGAUCUUCCAGUAUCUCGGCAUCCACCUCGACUCUCGCACCGCCGACCGCGACCACGCGUUGCUCGACGAGCAGCACUUGAUGCACCCGCUAUGGAUCGAGGAAGGGAAGCUCUGGCGCCUCAGGAUCCGCGACGAGCAUCGCCUUCUACCCCUACCAGAUAGGAGGAUCACUGACUUUGGCAACGACGUGGAGCAGCUUCGAUGCAUGCCAGACGAGGCAUUCCUCCGCAACCCGCGGAACAUGUCACGCCGACCUCCCAGCAUUCGCCGUACCAGAGCUCGGGACGCACAGGCACCUCCUCUCCCCGACUUCCCGAACAUCCCGGACAUCCCUAUGCAGGACCAGGGAGACUUUCAAAGGUUCGUGGUGGACGCUCUUCAGGAAAUCUGGGCCAGAGUAUCUUGUCGGAGCAGGAGUGCCACAGGAGCGCAGGCAACAGCACCAGCAGCUCGCAGGGACCCACCCCCAGAGGACGAUGAGGCGACUGACGAGGACACCGACUAGUCCUCCCAUUUCUAUCCUUCCUCCUCUUAUUAUGAACUUGUUUAUUUAUUUUCCGAACUUGUAGGAUUUAUGUUUUUAAACUUAUAUUUUAUGUUUGAGGAUGCUUAUUAUUUCUUAUGCUUGAUUGUCUAAACAGAGCUAACAUUUGGCAAGGAACAUCGAGUUUGACUCCAAGCACAUGCGAACAUAUCUGCGCUUCGCCAUCGAUCGAUAUGGAGAGGAUUACAUCGAUCGAUUCUAAGCGAGUAACAUCGAUCGAUAUGGAGAGGAUUACAUCGAUCGAUGUGUAGUACGGAUAGGUACUUCAUUUUUACUAACAUUCUCAAAACAUCUGACUUGAUUUUACCUACCCUUGGCCACUUUGCACCGAGUCGGUGCAAUUUAAGUCUGGCGGAGGUAGUUACUAACACCAUUUUCUCGAGUUUUUGUCAAAAAUCUUUAAAAAAAAAUAAAAAUAAAAAUAAAAUAUAUUAUUUUAUUGAGUCAAGAAGGGGAUUAUGAACUAAUGAUUUUUACUUGAAUGUCUAACCACUUUCUAGCACCAUUCUAGAUUUACUGACUGCAGAUAAUACUAUAGAUGCUAAAGUGGAUCGACCAGUCAACUAUGCACACUUGCUAACUUGUUAGAAAAAACUGAAGCUAACCUCCAACACUAACCUGACUUCACUGCUUGUUUUGGGGCUUGGUAUACAUGGGAUCGGAUUUUUCAGACAAGUCUGGAAGGUAACGCCUGGUUUAGAUUAUUUAUCACAUUUUCUCUCUCUAGAUUUCGACCCUAGAUUAGUUAUAGAGUAUAAAUAAAAAGAAAAAAAAAUAUAUAUAUAUAUAUAUGUAUAUAAAAAAAAGAGUAAGAUCUAUUGUUUAAUUAGGAUGAGUCUGAACAGGAUUUGGUGGCUAAAACCAUUAAGGCUUGAUUCAUAAAGACUCAAAUAAAAGAGUUCGAAACGGGACAUGGAGGCGGCAAUCUUCAAGGCUCGCUUUCGCAAAGAACUCUUGGAUAUAGGUCAAAAAGAAGUGAACAGAACUUGGUGGCAACCACCAUUAAGUUUUGAUUCAUGGAAGCCUGUCCAAUCUUGGUCACUGAUCCUGCAAUGGAAGCAGACUUUGACCCAAGAGAGAAAUUUAGAGAGAGAGAAACUAGGAACUAAUUUUUACCUGCAGCUCCAGAUACUUGUCUGAAAUCCUUGCAUCCUGUGAUGGAUACUCCCAAGGUAAAGCCUACACUUUUUACAUUAAGAAAUGAGGUUGGUUGAGGAGAUUGAUAAUAAGAUUAGUUAAGAUUGUUGGCUAGAUGAUUUUGGUUGCUAAGCUAGGAUAUUGCAUAAUGUAUAUCUGUAAGAAGGAACCUUAGAUGUGGAAUGCAAUAUUAUAGAGGUGAUAACUUCAAUAUUUCAAAUCUGUGAGUCCCUGAUGUUUUCAACCCUCUUCCAGAGAGAUUGUCCAUUGGUUUAACUUGAGGACAAGUCAAAAGAUAAAGUCAAGGGGAGUUGAUAUACCAUGAUUUUCACCCGCUUUUAUACAUGGUAUAUAAAGGUUUUAAGAUGUAUUAAUCAUGUUUUAGAGUCUUUUCAAAGCAAAUACAAGUUUAUUCACCUGAUGGAAGGAAAUAAUACUUUUGAGACAUUUUGGAAUGCUUUUACGCAAGGAAAAUUGAUCGACGCUUGAAGAGCAACAUCGGUCGAUCUUAAUCACUUACUAUCGAUCGACAUACAUUCUCGUGCAUCGAUCGAUACGCAGUCACACAGAUGAAAUCGCAAACUAAAAGAUUUCAUUUCCCAGAAGAUCUAUUAUUUACAACUUAAGUCCCUGGCCGCCUGUUAGGCGAUAUGUACUAGGGUUUUGUAUCAUUUCUAGGCAGACACUUGCAAAAGACCUAGUUUGGAAAAGGAGCAUUUUGGCUACCAUUAGGAGAGCUUAGGAUUGGAGAGAUAGAUCUGAGACUGCAAAACAGAGAAGAUCUUGAACUCCUUUAUUUCUAUUACUCUAUCUAUUUGUGUUCUAUGUUUCAUUUGAGUUUAUUUCACACCAUAAUGACUUUGUCUCUCAUGAAUAUGUCUGAGUAAACCGAUUGUUAGAUUUAGGUUUCUCACCAUGGUUGAAGCGUGUGUUUUCUCACCGAGGUCACAUAAUGAUCUAGGGAAGCGCGUGUUUUCUAUUUUACAAUCUAGGACGAAACUACCAGGAUCUGAUCUCUUCGUUGGAGUUUCUCCUUUAAUCAUAGCACUUACUUCUUCUGAAAUCAUCAUCACGCUAUGUUCUGCGAUUGGAUAGUUUGGAGAUGUCAUAUCCUUUAUAUACUUCUUAAUUGAAGGUGCUAUUUUUAUAGCAUCACUAAGAGACAUAUCGAUAGAAAUCCUAUCCAAAGCUUUCUUGCAGAUUGCGUUUUCUAAUGAUUUCUUAGUUUGCGUUUUAAGAGGAAAAGGGGGUAAAGUUCUAUAGACUCUUUCAAUUAUGGGAUCGGGUUGAGUAGACCGUCGAUCGACGGGUUUCUCAGGUUGUCGAUCGAUGGUGGGUGUUUUGGGUCGAUCGACGUCAGUUCCGUACUGUCGAUCGAUUUCAUCCUCAAUCUCCGUAUCUUCUUCUAGUUCUAAGUCUAUUGCCUUUUCCUUAGCCUUUUCAGCGGUGGUUUUCCGGUUCUCUUGAGAUGGAUUUGGGUCAAGUUCGUCAAGAAAAAUAGGAUGAGAGUUGCUUUUCCCGAUCUUAUCGGCGUCGUCAGGCUUUCCAACAUCUGAAUUAUUCCUCGUAUCUGCUGUGAGGUUUUUCCCGCUGCGCAGCAUUACGGCACUGACUUGACGUCUUGGGUUUAGAUAAGUUCUUCCGGGAAGACAUCCAGCGUCUCUCUUUACGGCAGUUGCAAUCUCAGAUACUUGACCUUCUAAUUUUCGGAUCAGUUCUCCUAAAGAAUCUGCUUUCUCCAUCAAUUCUCCGUAAACCAUAUUUAUCUUUCCGUAAAUCUCCGAUUUUGUCUUACGGUUGCCAGUAAGCGCUUGUCUGAUAUUGAACCUUUCUCUUCCGGUACGUGAUUUUAAUGCAGUGUCAUAAGCUUGGGUAAAGCUCUCGACAUGAAGCACAGAGUAGGGAUCAGAGCAGAUCGUUUCUUCAUCUGAAUAAUCAUCGGUGUCACACAAAGCGUUGUCGUCGAUCUGGGCUAUAUCAGAUCGGUGUUUGUUUUGAAGAAAGGAAUGAAGGGAUUUAAGGGAAUUCUUAAUUUCUAUUAAAUCAGAAUUGUCUUUUGGACUUGUAUUUUUUUCUAUCUCUUCAUCCAUCUUUUCAUAGGAUCUUCCCGUUGUCAUAUUCUUGAUAAGGCGUCUAGCUCCUUCGGGAUUCCUAGUGAUGAAAUUUCCAUCACUCGCUGUAUCGAGUGUGGUUUUAUAGCUCAAAUUAACACCUCCAUAAAAGAUGUUAAGAAGUUGUGGUUAUGAAUAACCAUGAUGGCGACAUUCAAGUUCAUAGCCUCUGAAUCUUCCCCAAGCGUUUUUAAAUGAUUCGCGUGGACCUUGGCGAAAUGUAGAAAUUUGUUUUCUUACUUUCCAGUAGCGUUCAUCAGUGAAAAUUUCUCUAAGGAAAGCUCUUCUAAUCUCUUCCCAACAAGUGAGUGAUCCUGUUGCUAAACAGUUCAACCACCUGAGGGCUUCUCCUUCUAGGGAGAAUAAGAAUAGUUUGCAACGAUCAUAUUCAUCUGGUAUUAAUUCUUCCAAAGUCUCAAUAUGAUCUUGUGGGUGUUCUGGGAGGGAUCCACGGAAUGGUACCAUACGGUAGUAAUCUACGUUAAACUUAGAUUUCUUGGUAUCAUCUCCUGGUAUUUUAAUAGCGGACCUAUUGGAAUGGGUCCUACCAGGAUCAAGUUAGUCUUGUAUGGACAAUUUUAUAUCUUCACCUUUAGUUAAGGUGGAAUUUUCCUUAACAGCGAUUUCAGUCCCAUGUUCAGUUUGGCUAGUUUCAUUGCUCGUUUGACCAUUUAGUACAGUUUGGACUACUUUCUCAUUAGCAGGCUUGGUAAGAGAAAACUUACCUGCUUCUGGCUGGGCGGUAUCGAUCGAUGUUGGUGACUCCGUAUCGGUCGAUUCUUCUGACUCACUGUCGCUCGAUGGAAACGUGUCUCCGUCGAUCGAUGGUUGGUCGCGCUCUAUGUUCUCCAUUCUUUGUGUCUGAGUAAUAGAUUAAGAAAAAAAACUUUAGCAAGAUUUUCGUAACAAGUCUACACUAAAUUCUAAAUUAAAUCUAAUGGUAAUAAGAAAGAGUCCCCGGCAACGGCGCCAAAUUUGAUAUCACUCAAAUUACCCUAAAGAGUGUUACUCUCAUCAAAAGAGGUUCAGAUGUAAUACUUAGGGAUCAAAUCCACAUAGACUCUAGGAUUACUCAACAGACUUAAAUAAUUAGAAAUGACGAUAGACUGAAAGGUUUUAAUAGUUUUAAAAGCAGUAAAUGAUAAAUCGAAAACAACAGUGAUUCAAUAGAUUGAAUUGAAGUUGUUUCAAGAUUGGGAAAGCAGCUAGAUUCAGGCAAUUCUCAGGUAUAAAAUGUAUGCACUUAGUUUAGACUAAAGGGUUUAAUGGUUCUUGAACGAAACAUUGAUUUAACCGGAUAGGUUAUCUUCACUAGAUCUCGGAUCUCAACUGUCGUAUUUUGAUCUCGAGAGAGUGUCGAUCGAUGUGACUUGAUGUACAUCGACCGAUACACCUUUGUAACGAUCGACCGACAGAACGAUAGUCGCGUCGAUCGACGGUUAUUCUAGCGAGCUUUGCGAACGGGUUUAACAUGUUAUCUAACCUUCUCAGACCAACUGUCGUUGCGCCUGAGUUAGUUAGAUCACGCAAAUGGGUUCAGGUAUUAAGGGGAAACGGUUAGUUGGACUCAAUUAAUCCUAAGAUCUAAAAUGAAGGUGAUCAAUCUCAAUUUUAGCAUUAAGUCCAUAAGCAAUGAAAGAACAAUCAAAACACCUUUUUAACAGUCAUAUUAGCAGUACAUAAUUCCAACCAUGGUGAGAAACCUAAAUCUAACAAUUGGUUUACUCAAACAUAUUCAUGAGAGACAAAGUCAUGAUGGUGUGAAAUAAACUCAAAUGAAACAUAGAAGACAAAUAGAUAGAGUAAUAGAAAUAAAGGAAUUCAAGAUCUUCUCUGUUUUGCAGUCCCAUAUCUAUCUCUCCAUUCCUAAGCUCUCCUAAUGGUAGCCAAAAUGCUCCUCUCCAAAACUAGGUCUUUUGCAAGUGUGCUAGAAAUGAUACAAAACCCUAGUACAUAUAGCCUAACAGGCGGCUAAGGACUUAAGUUGUAAAUAAUAGAUCUUCUGGGAAAUGAAAUCUUUUAAUUUGCGAUUUCAUCCGUGUGACUGGGCAUCGAUCGAUGCACAUGUGUGUAUGUCGAUCGAUGGUAAGUGAUUAUGAUCGACCCGAUGUUGCUCUUCAAGCGUCGAUCGAUUUUCCUUGCGUAAAAGCAUUCCAAAAUGUCCCAAGAGUAUCAUUUCCUUCCAUCAGGUGAAUAAACCUGUAUUUGCUUUGAAAAGACUCUAAAACAUGAUUAAUACAUCUUAAAACCUUUAUAUACCAUGUAUAAAAACGGGUGAAAAUCAUGGUAUAUCAGUAGAUCUAGGAAUUGAAUAGAAAAGUAGAUCUAGAUCUAAAUCUAGUUAUUACACGGAAAUAAAGAGAAGAUUAAUUAAUGUGACUGAUCGACUUCCAUCAAGAUGCAUCUGAACCGGCUAAGUCCAAUGCGGUAAGGAUCAGCACAUAGGCAGGACUAUCAGCAAGGGCCGCGGGACGUUCUGGUCGGACAAGUUGCGUUCCAACAAAGCCCAAGUCUUCUGAUAGCUUAAGGAUCCUUGCCUUCGAGAAAUUUCCAAAGGAAAAGUCCAUGAUCGAAUCGAACAAGGUAGAGAGAUCAUCAGCACAGUCGUCGGUAUAUGCGGUACGAGCCAAUCGAGCCAAAUGAGAGAAGUCUCGAUCAUUUUGUGAAACUUCAUGAUCCAAGUCAAGUCUGGCAUGAUCUUUCUCAAGCCUGGCAUGAUCUUUCUCAAGUUUGGGAUGAUCCAAGUAAAGUCUGGCAUGAUCCAAGUCAAGUCUGGCUUUGCUAUCAGUCUUGGCUUGUCGAGUUGGCCGGGAGAGACGAGCUUCAGUUCAGAUAGUUCGAGCAUCUGGUCGAGGAUCUGGACGAAGCUCCAAUCCGGACGUUCGCGGGUCGAGCCGAUAGACGGCCCGGUCGAUCUGCCUGAUCUGAUCGGUAGGAUGAACCUCAGCUGGGACGUCUGGAACGUUUUGAUCGGUCUGGUCUAUGGACUGGGGCACAUCACCUUGCUUCCUUCCAAGAAAUGGAAAACUUCCGACAAGGAGAAACCUUCCAUAUUUCCGAAUAUGGAAGAGUUUAACCUAAUGAAACCGAAUUCUAGACGACUAUAUAAGAGCUACAACAGCCCUCAAGCAAGGGAUCGACUUCUCCAAGGCUUAGAGACUAGAACUAGAUGGCUAGAAUUAGGGUUCUUACUCAAUACCUUGUAAUCUUGUUCGUUCUAUCUAAUAAAAGUCUCUUCAAGCCUAUUUCUUCAUUAUCAUCUCUAAAUCCUCACAAAAUACAUACGAACACCCUCUGUUUACUAGCUUAUCCAUCGUUCCGUAGUACUCAUAAAGAGCCUACACAAAAAUCCCUUAACAGUUUGGCGCUAGAAGGAGGGGAGUAAUCUAAGCUACAUGACGAUGGCGGUGGAUGAGCAAGACGAUCCAUCAGAAUUUACCCCAAGAGAAACCGAGCUUCAACGACAGAUCGAUGGACUGCAGAGCCAAGUAACCGACCUGCACAAGGCUCGGGAAACAACCGAAAAUCCAGAGCUUUCCUCCGAGGUUCAGAGCCUGAAUGAAAAACUGGGUGAACACUCCAAACAGCUGGAGUUAAGCGCCAAGAAACUCAACCAACUACAAACGGAGAGCGCUGCACUCCGAGACCAGAACAAAGCUCCCAACACGGCGAGCAACAAGAAGCAUCGCUUCAACACUCGGGUUCAACCUAUGGGAAGCCUGAGCACUCCCAACACCGGAAAAGGCACCACUAACGCGACUCCUGCAUCCGGGGCGGCCAGGGCAACGCGAGAAGGGAUCGAGGAUCACCAGAUCUACGACCUAGAGAAAAGUGAUUCCGAACCUGAACCCAAGAAAGAAGAACCCGAGAAGACGGCAGCCGAGUCUUCCAUAACCGCCCAUCUGGAGCAGAUGUUUUCCAAGAGGCUCGACGCCAUGCAAUCCAUGGUGGAACGUCUACCAGGAGUAGCUCCCCCAAUCCAGAGGAGCAACCCCGACUCGUACACAGAUACUCCCUUCACGGAGGAGAUCGCCUCAGUUGAGAUACCUCGGAAAUUAUCCUUCCCCAGCAUCAAGAUGUACGAUACUACCGGAGACCCCAACGAUCAUAUUGCACAAUAUAAACAGAGGAUGCUAGAGGUUUCGCUCCCUAAUGAGUCCCGUGAAGCUACCACGUGUAAAGGGUUCGGCUCCACUCUAAUUGGACCCAUCUUGCAAUGGUACAUCAAUCUCCCUACCAGGUCCAUCUCUUCCUUUGCCGGCCUGAGCGACAAGUUCGUAUAACAAUUCGCGAGUAGCAGGAGCCUCGAGAAGCCUUUAGACAGUCUCUACGAGAUCCUCCAGCAUCGAGCAGAACCUCUGCGAGACUACAUAGAUCCUCCAGCAUCGAGCCCGUUUCAAUCAAGAGAAGGUAGCGGUCCCUGAAUGCAGUAUCCCUACCGCAAUCUCUGCCUUCAAGAGAGGCCUACUUCCAGACGGAGGGCUCUACAAAGAGCUAACCAUGUACCCUUGCAAAACCAUGGAGGAUGUGCUAUCCCGAGCGUGGGCACAUGUGAAGUGGAAAGAGGACGUCGCUAGCCGCGCCAAGGCUCAACCCAAACAGGAUCAGAGGUCCACCCGAUCAGCCCGGGGAGACCGAGAAGAAAGAUCCUCCUAAAAGGGAUCCAAGGACUCCGGAAGCAGGAACCGGGGCAGGAUCCAAUACCGGCCAUUAGAAAAAGAAGAGGGGAUGUAUGUGUCUACCUGGCCCGAUAUCUCCCAUCUCUCAUUAUCCACUCCAUAGCUGGUCAACACGCUGAGGCAGAUGGGCCAACAGGUCAAGUGGCCCCCAAAGAUGAAAGCACCUGACUCGUUCCGGAACCCGGUACUCUGGUGCGACUUCCAUCGCGAUCACGGCCACAAAACUGAAGACUGCGUCCCCUUGAAGAUCGAGGUCAACGAACUGCUCCAAAAGGGGCAUCUCCGAGAAUUCCUUUCAGAGAAAGCCAAGGCUCAUCUUAGCAAAGAAGCAUCAGGGAAAUCCAAAGGAGACGCACCAAGCUCACCACCUCGCCAGGACCGGGUGAUUCAUGUCAUAUCAGGAGGUCCCUGAAUGCAGUAUCCUGUUAGGGGAUUUUUGUGUAGGCUCUUUAUGAGUACUACGGAACGAUGGAUAAGCUAGUAAACUGAGGGUGUUCGUAUGUAUUUCAUGAGGAUUUAGAGAUGAGAAUGAAGAAAUAGGCUUGCAGAGACUUUUAUUAGAUAGAACGAAUAAGAUUACAAUGUAUUUAUUAAAAACCUAAUUCUAGCCGUCUAGUUCUAGUCUCUAAGCCUUGGAGAAGUCGAUCCCUUGCUUGAGGGUUGUUGUUGCUCUUAUAUUCGUCUAGAAGUCGGUUUCAUUAGGUUAAACACUUCCAUAUUCGGAAAUAUGGAAGGUUUCUCCUUGUCGGAAGUUUUUCAUUCUUGGAAGGAAGCAGGGUGUGACACCCCCGAUCGUAGUUGGCCGGAAAUGACACGGUUGAUGUUCCUCGAUGGUCGAUCCGAGGAUCUCAGAAUACUUCUGAUCGCCUUAGACCAACAAUCAAAGAACACCAACGCUCCUAUCAGAUAUCACUCUAGGCUUUUCAACCCGAAAAAGCAAUACCUGAUAGUUAGUUCGUCCGGACAAGGACUAAUAUCAUAUGGAACAUGUACUUUAAAAACAUUCUUUAUAUAUCAUUUAAAACCAUCUUACAAAAUUUGUUAUAAAAUAACCUCGAGGUUUUCGGUCAAUAAAUCUUAUACAUAAGAAAUAUCAAACGCCUUUGCAAGGAUAAUAAAACUACCACUGGCUAAUGAUGUUCCUUCCCGUCCUAGAGUAAGGUCUCUCGCCUAUUGGUUACCUGCAUCACAAAUGAGUCAUGAGUAACUAGUUUACUCAGUGAGCCUAAUCCCUCACCCCAACAUAUAUUAAUAAUAUCUCAAGCAAUCAACUUCAUUUGUAUGCAGUAGGAAAUAUAUUCCAUAUCUGGAUAUUUAUAUAUAAGGAAUAUUCUUCCAUCAUUGUGAAUCUAAUCAUAUACCUCACUUCCUAUUCCCGUCUCUCAUAUCAUUCAUAUAAUCAUAUUUAUAUAUAUAUAUAUAUAUAUUUAUAAACCAGACCCGAGAAACCAUAAAGGCUAAACGAGUCUAGCGAGUUAGCAUCACCAUCAUCGCCAUCAGAUAUUCAAAAAUUGAACAUCUAACGCUGCAUGCAGUUACACGGCCUCCAGGGUGCGACCCCAUCAUCGUGUCUUCGUGACCCUGUUCCAUAUCACAGGACCAAUUCACGGUAAUCAUCAUUCAUACGGAAAUAUUUUGGAAGACAAGUUUAUAAUAAGACUUCACAUGAUUAAUACUUCCAUACUUAAUUAUAUUUAAUACUAUACAUAUGUAUUAGUACUUGAGAACAAGUACUAAGGUUUGGAAUAAACCUCUAUGAUCAUUCAUAAAUAUUUAAUAAGUGUUUACACUAAGUAAACACCUUACCAAUUCAAUAAUGAUCAAGAGACAAAGCCUAUCAAUCAUCUACAAUCAGUACGUUCAAUCAAGAAAUAUUCAUUCACUACUCACCACUCAUCUAUCUAGACUCACCUUUGAUUCCAUGAGAUUGGCUAGGAAAGACUAGACUCGAGCUCAACUAAUAACACUCCAUUUCACUCCUGAUUCAGAACGUGUGGAUACAAGUUCAGUCAGGUUGAUUCCAACAGAAACUCUACUCAGCUUAGUUCAAAGCAGUUCAGGUCGUUUGAAGGAUAAUUCAGUGCAGCUAAGCCUUUAAAAAAAAUAUCUAAGAAACGGAAAUGAACCAAGAUCAAUCCACAUACAGGUUUAAAAACUAAUCUGGACAGGAAGCUUAACAAAUCAGUCCAUUUGUUCCAAACAAAACUUCUCUGAACUAGUAGCUAUGGCUUACCAAUUUCCUCAAGCUUUAAGAUGAACUUGGUUGAUAUAAACUUCAAGCUGAACACACGUCUAACCUGAUCAGGACAAGAUACCCAUGAUAGGUUCAAGAUCAGAAACAUACCAAAUCGUUUUGGUUACCUAACAAGAACUGAAGCUCAAGCAAAACUGAUCUCAUCAAACCCAUAUGUUCUUACCGAUAAAAUCCAAGGCUAAAGAACUUGGGUGAUUCUAAACUCUUGGACACCAAACCUUCAGCUCUUAACCAUACCAGAACACACUGAUUAAAGUCACAGGAUGGUGAGAAAGGGUUGUCCAUGCUCACUCCUCUUCUCUGAAUAUUUUUCUGAAUUUUUCAUGAAUCUUUUCUCUCAGAUUUUUCUCUCUUCUUUAUCUCUUUUUCUCUGAAUUUUUCUCUGGUUUUUCUUGCAGGUUAUGAACGUCCAGAGGAGAGAAGAAGGUGUUUUAAAGCAUAAGGAGUUACUUCAGAUGAGGGUUACUUCUAUACAAGGCAAAGCUGAGGCUCGACAGGUGGAGACAUGCUUCAGCACACUAAGCAGCACAAGCAGCUGAACUUUUCCUUCCCAUGAAGAAAGCUACAAGCAGCUGAAGCAAGUAGCUUGUGACCAGCAUGUGACUUCUAAUGAGCAAGCAGGCAAUCAAGUAGGUGCAGGUCAUGUGACCUAAUUACUGAGGAAGCAAUUAGGCUAGAAGGUGCAAGGCAUGUGACUGUUCACAAAUAAUUUUAAGAGUUUUGUCGAUAUUUUUUGUACUGUUUCGACUAAAUAUUUUUCAUCAUUCGAAUCUCGUCCUGCUCUGAAUAAACUCGCCUAGCAUGAAUAAAAAUCGACAAUAAUAAUUAACACUAGACCAGAACCAUCAAGAGAUGGCUUUUCGACCAAUAGACAGCCCCUCGAGAGAUUAAUUCACCGUGUCGAAUUUUAUUUAAAUUCUGAUCGAUCAAUCUUCAAACUGAUCUUAAAGAAUUUUCUCGACCAAAAUUCUAUUUGCUCGUGAGGGUCAUUACAUUCUUCCCCCCUCAAAAGAAUUCGUCCCCGAAUUCUAAAAACGUAGUUGUACACUCUUUACUGAACAGUCUCUGAAAGGAGUUCUGGAUAUUAGAUCUGACCUUAUCUUAAUCUGCCCAUAUCAAAACAACUCAUGGUCGAUCCCUUGAUUCCCCCAACUGAUCCUUUCUUUUCUGAGCAGCCACUUUCAAGAUAACCAAAUUCUUUACUCUGCACAAUUCUUGUCAACUGCGGUCUGCAUACUUUUUCUAACAAUCUUGUAUCUGUAGACUAUUAUUUCUCAACCUUUUCUAUCUGGCUCUCCCCCAUAACAACAACAUGAAAUUUAGAACGUGAGGUGAUGUGCCAUACGUGAAUGUAACAUCUCCAGUCUAAUCAAUGUUAACUUGAUUAACCGUGCAAGAAUCAAACAAGAACAUGCACGAUCAAUCACGCCAACAUGAUUCAGACCAGGGGUGCUACUCUCAAAUAAACACACUCACCUAUUCCAAGAAGGAUUUCACUUACAGUACUCUUUACACUUCUGAUCUAUCUGAAAUGCUCUUCAUAAUCUUCUAACUACUACUAGAACUCGACAAGAACCACUUGGUGAAAUCCCUAGGCUAUUGCAGUGAAUUCAUGUUCAACAAGAAUACUGGACAUGUUACUUUUUUAGAUGUCGACCAUCCUUUCAAUGCCUUAUAAACACAUCUUCAUCUUCCCUGAUUAUCAGACUGUCUUCUACUCUGCUCCUUUUCAUCUUCAACUUUCUAAACGACCAAGUUACUAGAGUACACUUCUUCACAUGUUCCCAAAAGUUCUUCAACACGCCAUACUGAUUUGAGUCAUACUUGAACACUUUGUAGAAUACCAUUGUAAGCCAACAAUAGCUGGUCCUCUUCAAAAAACUUCUUUCCUUUAUAUCUUAAUUGAGCUCGGUAACUAGAUAGCCAAUCUCAUUCUAGAUAGAAACAUACCGCUCUAACGGAAGUACUAUGGAAUGGGGAAGGCAUACCAUAACUUUAAUUGGCAGCCCGUACUUCCAAAUAAGAACGGUAGACUUGAAUUCACAAAAGUGAAUCUUCUCUAAUACUAUGACAUCGCUCAGGAACUACAACCAUGUGUUGUUCCCGAAUCAAACACAAUAUGAGCAGAGAAUUCCAUCCAUGGGCAAGGUCUCUUACGACACCUUGAUCACAAUUUACAUUUUUUUUUAAUUUAUUUAUUUCAACCAUUCAUAAAAUUUUAAAAAUGCACACAACACACAAUGGGAUAAGAAGCAAACCUGUGAUUGGACCUUUCAGGGGUUUUGACGGUCCAAACAACCAUAAAGUGUAGGCUCUACCCAAAUAGCCUAACACUUGGAUCAAGUCUAAUGGUAAGGAAGCGUGAAGAAAGCCAACUACUGGUACCCUAGGUAUAGGUAAAGGAACCAGGUAACUUUAUGAGGAAGGGUAACCUAAAAUCCUAACUCUUCACAAGAACCACCAAAGUGUGAAUGAUGUAAAUGUUCUAGGAUUUCCCAAACUUUGACAAUCACGACCAUUUUUUCCUUGCUAGUCACAACCAUAACGGCUCAAGGUCCUCGAUCUUGAUCUGAAGAAAUGUACACCCAAAAUCAUCCCCAACGACUUACUUAACUCACUUCUUGAA